CUUUUGUAACCUAAAAAUUACAAAUUUUUUACUAAGUUUUUGUUCCAUAAAAAAAUGCAUUAUUAUUUAUUUCUUUUCAAAAAUGAAACUAAUAAAGUAUGUCAUGUGAAUUUUAAUUGCUCUUAGACAUUAAGGAAAAAGCUGAAAAAUUAAUAAUUAAAAUUUCUGAAUAUAUAUAUAUAUAUAUAUAUAUAUAUAUAUAUAUAUAUAAACAAAAAAGGGAAAGAAAAAAAUUUUAAAAAAAUUAAUAGCAAAAUUUAGUAAAAAGGAAAUUGAGUCGGAUACUUCAUGCUCUUAACAUUUGUCACUAAUUCUAUUUCUAUUUCUAUUUCUAUUUCUCAAACAUAACCAACUUCAAAUACAGUCCAAACCAAAUCUUCCAAAAAAAAAACAAAAGACAAAUUAUAUUUGCAAACACAUUUAGAAACCAAAUCUUUUACAAAAUAGAUAUAAUCACUUUUUCCAACUGUUCCGCCGUGUUUUGAAUGACGCUUAAUCUUAAAAACUGAGAUUACAUUCCAUUUCACCUCCUGCUUCCCCUUUUCUCUCUCUCUCGCGCUCCCGCUCUCUCUCUCUCUCAUCCAUUCCCCUUUUUAACUUCUUCAGUCCAGACUCCAUCAUUUCUCAUUGAUUUCAAUCACAUGAAUUUGCCAAUUCUUGGAGCCACAAUGAAGAGAAAGAGUUGCAGUCCUUGCGACUCUCUCGUGAGCUUGUUUGACGAUGAUGAAUUGGAGGUUUCUAAAAUCCUGUUCGAAAUUCCUCGGAUAAUCUUCCAAUCUGAGAAUCGCAAUCGUCUUUUAGUCGCUUGGGGCGUUAGGAAGAGAAGAUCUGCCAUUGAUCCUGACUUAUAUCCGCCUUCUGUUCCUUCAUCGUCGUCGCCUCAUCUUCCCAGUUCUUGUGUGGGUCCGACUUGUGACGAUGAUGAUCCUCCAGCGAAGGUUGAACCUUCCAGCCCUGCCACGCCUCUCUCCUUCUCCCCCAGCGAAUCUGAUGGCAAGUCUAAGCGCUCUAAGAAGAGUGUUUCAUCUAAAAAGGUAUCUUUCUCAAAUCUCCGAUUUCCGAUUUCUCAUUCGUUUUGCUGUGUUUUUUUUUGGGUAGUUUCCUUUUUUUAUUUUCCCAUUUUUGUUUUCAGUUCUUGAUAUUUGAAAUACUAUGUUACCCAUGUCCUGUUCCUGUAUUUGACCGUUAUUAUUAUUCUUAUUUUAAAUUUCUGAAAAAAAAAAAAAAAAACUGACAUCUUUGCGACUACUUUUCUUGUUGUCCAGAAGAAGGAAAUUUUGUUGAAGAUGAUUGAGGAUUUGACUCAUCAGAAAGAGUUCCUAAAGACGGUGACUCAUCAGAAGAAGGAGACUCUUGGACCGGAACUAGUUGCGCCGUUGGAUCUCAACCUCAGUAUUGCUCUGAACGCUGAUACCACACAACUAAAGAGGGCUGCAGCUGCUCAGGCCAGGAAGAAGAGGCUUCAGAUUUACAAAGUGAAGAAAUCCAAAGGCUGUUCAAGUCCCUCUAUCCUCUCUUUUGGUUAGCGGUUCAAGAUUGGUUCAUCUCUUCAAUGGAAGUUUUAUUUUCCCAGAAUUUUUAUGAUGGAUUCAAUCUCUGAUACAAUAGAUAUACCUUUGUUGUUAUAUUUCAUCUCUUCAACAAAUUUAGUAAUAAGCAGGAUACAAAUCAAUUCUUGAAUGUACAGUGACUGUCGCAAUGCAACAAUUGUAAACAAUUAUUAAUUUUGGUGUUGCUCUGCUAUUUCAUCUGUGCUUAUAUAUAGAAGACAUGGAGCCAUAGCAGUUGAGCAUAGCGGUGAAUGAAGAGUGGCAAUGAGUGUUGACUGUUGAGGAUGGAAUAUGAAAAAGGGAUCCUUAUGUUUUCUCAUAUUUCAUGGACUUUUGUUCUGAUUUGUCAAAGACAAAAUAAAACUCUGGAUUAAAAUAUGCGGUACAAGUGAGUCCCUCACCAAACAAGCUCGUGAAAGCUGUAAAUAAGAAGCGCACAAUCCAAGUUGUUUAAGGAAUUGACUGCUUGUUACUUAAAUAGACAUCCAUAUCGUAUCGUUUAAAUGCGGACAUGGAAAACUGAUGAUUGCAUAGAAAAUUUGGUAAGAUUAAACGGCUACUUUUCCUUACAAUUUCCAUCUGGUUUCAACUAAAAACCCAAUGACAUACCAGCAAAAUGAGAUCCCUAAUACAACAAAGAAUGGCCCACCUCAUCCCUUUGGACACCCCAGUUGUAAAAAUGAGAAAUCCUUAUUCAGAUGCUUGAAUAGAACACAACCCACAAACAUUAUAUUAUGGAAGAGAAGAUUCAAACCAGGUGACGAUACAAACAAGCUGCAAGCAAAAUGGAAAUAAAUCUGAAACUAUAACAGCCACAUAUAGUAGUAGCAGAUAAAUGGGCAAAGCUUAGGUGCUCAUCUCCCAAAAUCUUAUUUAGGCUUUAAGGCUUUUAGGCCUCAUAAUUCUCUUCUGGGCCCUCCUCAUACUCACCCUCGUCAUCAGCAGUUGCAUCCUGGUAUUGCUGGUAUUCUGACACCAAAUCAUUCAUGUUGCUCUCUGCUUCCGUGAAUUCCAUCUCAUCCAUUCCUUCCCCAGUAUACCAGUGCAAGAAAGCCUUGCGCCUGAACAUGGCUGUGAACUGCUCGCUCACCCUCCUGAACAUCUCCUGGAUUGAAGUGGAGUUCCCCACAAAUGUAGAUGCCAUCUUCAGACCUCUUGGUGGAAUAUCGCACACACUGGAUUUCACGUUAUUAGGAAUCCACUCCACAAAAUAUGACGAGUUUUUGUUUUGCACAUUGAUCAUCUGUUCGUCCACCUCCUUGGUGCUCAUCUUUCCCCUGAACAUGGCCGAGGCAGUCAGGUAGCGGCCAUGCCGAGGGUCAGCCGCACACAUCAUGUUCUUGGCAUCCCACAUUUGCUGAGUUAGCUCUGGCACUGUGAGGGAGAUGUACUGCUGGGAUCCACGAGAGGUGAGUGGUGCAAAACCCACCAUAAAGAAAUGAAGGCGAGGGAACGGGAUCAGAUUCACAGCCAGCUUGCGGAGGUCUGAGUUCAGCUGGCCAGGGAACCUCAGGCAGCAAGUCACCCCACUCAUAGUCGCAGAGAUCAAGUGGUUCAGGUCACCAACUGCACACCCAAGAUAGAAGAAAGUUUUAAUAUCAAUUUUCCUCAUUUUCAUACUAAUUAUCCUAAAAAUAAUUUAGUACUCACAGCUAGGAGUGCUGAGCUUGAGAGUCCUGAAACAAAUAUCAUAAAGAGCCUCAUUGUCCAGAACCAUGCAUUCGUCAGCAUUCUCUACCAACUGGUGCACUGAGAGGGUGGCAUUAUAUGGCUCCACAACUGUGUCAGAGACCUUUGGAGAUGGGAAGACGGAGAAAGUGAGCAUCAUUCUAUCUGGGUAUUCCUCUCUCAUCUUUGAUAUCAGGAGGGUCCCCAUGCCAGAACCAGUGCCUCCUCCAAGUGAAUGGCACACUUGAAAACCUGGCCCACACAAAAAAGCAACACACUGAGCGCGUCAGCCAAAUUAGAAUGAUUUUUACCUCACUUUUACCAGCCAAUUUCCUUAUAUAGUACGUAUGGAAAAAUUCACCGACAACUCAAUAAAUAUCAAUUUCUUCCUGGAGAAGGAAAGAAGUUGUUGAAUGCUUCCCAUGAUCUUGUAGUAAACCAGUGUUUACUUUUAGCUCAACAAGGACAGACCAUAAUAGAGCCAAAAUUAGACUUCAGAUUUCUAAUGUCCAGCAUCUUUUGAAUAAUUGAGUUAAAGCUAAGUCACUUAAAAUGCAAUCACUGUCCAUAGGAUUACAAAUCACUUUCAGGAAAAUGCAGUCACAUAUCAGUAAAAUGAGCAAAACUGUUCCAUCCAAAACUUUUAGAGUAUCAAUUCCACAUUGUCUUGUUCAUGAGGCACGCUCAAGAAAGGAAAAGAAAUGCUUGGCUCUAGAAGGAUGUCCAAAUAAUGUUUGCAACAAGUACAAAAGAAUUGCAUUAUUUGGGGUUAGCUAUGCACAAUCUGGUUUCACCCUUCUACUCCGGACAACUCUUCCGAUCAUUGCAAUUAUCAAUAGGAGCAGUAAUCAAAUGUUUUGAAAUGGUUAUUCUUUACUAGACAGAAAAAAUGAUAAUAGUCAACACUCUUGCUUUAUUAAAUUUCCUUUUGUACCACUACUCAGAUACGGAUCUUUCCAGGUGAAAAGGUGUACAUAAAAAUCGAGAUAUUAAUUGAUUGUUUACCAUAAUGUACUUCAUCAUGUCAAGGAUGUGUUGGCUGACCUGGAUCAGAGACAACACUAGAGCCCCAUGUCCGUGCCAUAUUAGCGAGCCCCACAAGGCAACAUCGAUGGUCUUGAAAGUCUUUUACUACCAUAACUCCAUUUCCCUAAGAUUUCCCGUUUCAUGCCCAAUUGGUAAAAGGAAAAAAUCCUUGUUGGUCCUGCAGGAUCUUAUUUGUUGGGCAAUCAAAAUCAUACCGGAAAGGAUAUUAGUAUAUUUUUAUUUUUUAAAUAUACAAUUUGGGAAUAAGACACUUGUGUCUGCACACCAGACAAAAAGGGGCCUACUAUACGUCCAAUGAGGCUCAACCUUAUCCUUGUUUCAUCACACACAUCACCAACCCUUGACGACAGCAAAUAAUUAAAUACAAUGAAUAAAGCAAUAUAGCAUUAUUGGCAUGACUGCCCUUAAACCAGGUUGGCAAUGAACAAUAUAUUUUAUAAUUACAGCCUGGAAAAUAGGAUCUAAUUAUAAUAUAAAGGCUAUUCAUACAUUUUAAAUUCAUAAUUAUACAAAAUAUGGUAACAAGUUUGGGCAUAAAGUUAUUCGAACAAACAAUUUGCAAAGCUAAAAGGAAACAAGGUUUGCAAAGGUAAAAAAGGAACCACAUCCGGAAUGAGAUUGCAUCAAUUUCAGAAUUUCAGAGUCCAAACAGAUUAAAGAACCAUAGUACUAUAAGAAAAUAACAAUAAUCGUUUUUAAAAUUCUUAAUUCUUCAGGGGAACUGUGCUGGGAGAUUUCACCGCAUAAGUUAAGUUAAUGGCAUUGACAAAAAAACAGAAUAUUGCCAAAGAAUAUAUAACGUCAUUUGCACUGAAAUCUAAAUUGUUAUAACUUAUUUCAAUUAUCAUAAGAUCUGAUCAGGAGACACAGAAGUAAUUUUCGGACAACGUAACUAUUGAGAGAUUUUUACACUAAACAAACAGCCCUGAUAAAACACUAGAAUAAAAGAAGAGGCUACUGGAAUUAUACACUCUAGUAUCAAGCAUUAAUUAAUAAUGAUUUUGAAAUCUCAAGAUUGCAAACUUAAUUCCAACUCUCAGAUCCUCUUCCGAUCUGAGAUCCAAGUAAGCUCUCCAGGACUCCAACCGAUAAAUUAUAGCAAAGGCACAUAAUCCUACCCAUCCAUCCACUUGGUUCCUGAGAGGAUUGUUAGAAAAAGAAAUGAAAAUUCGGAAUCAACAUAACUGAAACUGAAUUUCCAACUCUUUUGCCUUUUAGUCCCCGAUUUCCCAGCAACCAAGCAGAAUGCAGGCUUCAAUCACACAUAAAAAAUACUAAAACGAAAAUUGCUCACACUAACGAAGUUAAACAAAAACAAAUCACCUUGCAUGCAAUCACAAUUCUCAGCCUCCUUGCGAACAACAUCGAGAACCGCAUCAAUCAACUCCGCCCCCUCAGUAUAAUGACCCUUGGCCCAAUUGUUGCCGGCACCGGACUGACCAAAAACGAAAUUAUCAGGGCGAAAGAUCUGCCCAUACGGUCCCGAUCUGAUACUGUCCAUAGUCCCAGGCUCAAGAUCCAUGAGAACAGCCCUGGGAACGUACCUUCCACCAGAAGCCUCAUUGUAGUAGACAUUGAUCCUCUCCAACUGAAGAUCAGAUGAACCAUCUCCGUUGUACCUCCCAGUGGGAUCCACACCGUGCUCGUCGCAGAUGACCUCCCAGAACUUGGAUCCAAUUUGGUUACCGCAUUGGCCUCCCUGAACGUGCAAGAUCUCCCUCAUCGUUUUUGUGUUUGGAGAGAAUGAAAAUGAAAACGAAAACCAAAAAUUGAGUGGUGGUGGUGAUGGUGGUUGUGGAGGAGUUCGCGGGAGGCAGUGAGACUCGGGUGGCGUCCGCUAUUAAUUGACAGCGAGAUUUUUAUUUUUAUUUUUGUUUUUAUUUUUUGAAAUGACGAGUCACGUGCCUGGUGGGCAUGGGCUAGGUAUAAUGCCACAACCGCCUGACACUUGCCACGUGCAUCACCGCUCUCAUGCUCCCACAUUUAUUUUAUAUUUUCAUCUCUAUAAUUUUGGAUUUUUUUUGGGGUAAAUCAGAUAAUGGACUUAAUUUUAAAUCAAUGCUACAAUUAGAACAUUUAGGCUUAUUGAGUAUAUCGACAUUAUAAAUUUAUAAACCUUAUUAUAUAACCAAUUGGAUGGGUUCAAGUUAUCAGACUCCCAAUCCAAUACAAGCCCAACUUUAUUUUAGGCUGUAAUUUUUCUUGUUCAAGUUGAAUUAAAAUUACAAAUUAAAUUCCUUGAAUUUAUUUUAUUAUAAAAAAAAAUCAAAUAUAAUUAAAAUUAUUAAAAAGUUUACAUAUCUUAAAAUUAUUUAAUCUUUAUAUUAAAAUUUAAUAUAAAACCCUUCUUACAGUAACAAUGAACUCCCUGUCAAUAUCGACUCUCCAUCCCUUGAACCAAGAUACCCAUCCCCUUCACCCCAAGAUUAAGGUAACUUGUAAAUCUUCCUUUUUUCUUUAUACCUAUUUUUUUUAUGAAAUUUUUUUUUUUUUUUUUUAACACAUUGGUAUAAUAACUGAUAUAACUAGGUUGAAGCAAUUGAAAAUUCUAAUUAAACUAUCAUCAGACGUAAGUUAUUGUUUUGUGUGUUGCAAGACUAAAGAUGAGGAUCACAUGUUGAAGCUUGUGGAAGACUCAACCAAUUGCAAAGCAGAUCUUCGAAAGGUAAGUUGGAAUCCUCCCUCUCCAUUUUUUUAUUUUUUUUAAUAUUAUAUAUAUAUAUAUUGAAUUUUGUAAUGUAGGAAUAGUAAAGGUUUUUCUAAUUUCCCUACUUUUCCCUUGCAAUCAGGCAAUAGGGAAUGUGGAAGUGUAUUACGCCAGGCUAGGAUUUCAAUAAGUAUUGGUAUCGGAAAGCAGAGUAUUGCAGCCAGACUGAGAAUCAGUAUGAUGAAUAGGGCUUUGAGUUGACCCGGUUAACACUUUGCAACCGAAAACAUGUGAAUCCGAGUCUUUGACUCGGGCAAUCUAUGCUGGGCUAGACCAGCCCCUACGCAGCAAUUUAUGUCAAUCCUAAUUAUAUUAUUCUUAUUGUUUAUACCACUUAAUUUUUUAUUUUAUUUAUGUUUGCAGUUAAGGUUCUUUUCAAAAUGGGCAGAGGCCCGUCAGGGCUAGGGGUUUUGAUAAAUGGCAUGGAAGUAGAACCUCCAUACCAGCCUCCCACCGUUGAAAAAAUUGCGUGGGUUCAGUCCCGUGAUGAAGCAAAUUGCCUGAUAACCAAUCAGUCACCCUUUUUUUAAUCGGUGAUCAGAUGGUACAAAUUGCAUCAUAAUCAGGCAUUUGACAGAUCAUCAGAUGACAAACACAGGCCCAAAUAAACAGCCGAAUAAGUCCAACAACAAAGAACAGAAUCAUUGAUCAAGGAACCAACUCAAAUAGAAAUUUGUCCACCAUAUCUACUGAACACAGAAAGCCAUUCUUGCUUAGGCAAGAAGGCUUGAGAUCACAAUUGAUCAAAAGCUCCCAAUUGUACAGGCUCUAAGAGCAUCCAAAGAAGGAUUUCUGUAGUUUUUUUUUUUUUUUUUUCUUUGCUUAAGGCAUCUGUGUCUAAUUAAAGAAAAUUUACCUAAUUUGUUAAUGGAGAGAGAUAUUAAAUGGAGAACUUAAGAAUAAUUUUGCACUAUUUUGUAAUCUAGACCACUCUUCCUGGAUAAUUAGCCCCUCAAAAUCACAAAGUUUUAAGUCAGGUAUGUUCCAGAAGUACAACAAUGCGGAUGACUCUUCCUCUCAAUGUAGCUGUUUACUAGAGAAACCAGAUACCUGAUUUCCUUCCUGAGUUCUAAUAGCACAUCUGAGGCUUAGUAUUCUGAUAAGCAAAUACUGAAACCAGCUUUUCAGCUUCCCACCUUCCCUUCUCCAUUUUUUCCUAGUAAUAAACCAAAAAAAAAAUUGUGUGCCACCAAGCAUAUUAGGAGCAUAUAAUUUCAGUCUUUUUUUCAUUUCCCUCAACCAAACGUUGGAACUGAAAAGCUCUCACAAGGGGAAAUCAUUUUAAUCCAGUCAUAUAAAAAAAAAAAAAAAAAAAGUUCAGUCAUAUGAAAGAACAACAACAAAAAGUAUAAAUUGAAGCCAACUUUACACGAUUGCUAUACUAUAUAGGAUGGCAGAAGAAACAUUACAAGUGAAGCCACUGCAGUAGUGCUGCUAAAGUUGAGCCUCAUUGCAGAACUUUUUGAAGUUCAAACAUUCAUCCACCAGAAACUCUCUGCCAAAACAUUUUAAUGAUAGAAUUAAGUGUGGGAAUGUAAUUUAAAAACUAAAAAACGUUUUUAAGCAACUUACAAGAUUCGCUCAGCCAUUUGUGAUGAUUCCCAUCUAGGACUCCACGGAUACUCUGUCAAAAGAUGUGAUUUGAUUGGUGCACCUUGGGAAUUGAAAUGCUGCAAAAUUACAAGAAAGUAAACUGAUGAAUGAUAGGCACAGAAAGUAGAAGUUAGCCCAAAUGAUUUUCUUCAAGCUUUUGAGGCUCAUUGUAGAACUAAUAAUGAUUCAUAUGAUAUCAGUCAAUCAAUCUUCACAUUGAGAGGCAUGAGCAUCAUUAGAACAUUGGUGUAGUGAACAGAGGCAUGGUAGAGCUCCUGUAAAAGAGAAGGAAAAAAAAAAGGAGGAAAAAAUAAAGAAAAUAUACACAGACAAUUACACAUUUUAUUUCCAGGCUGAUCUACUGACUUCAGGCAGUUGCAGAUGACAAAUUCAAAGGUAACCUGAACAGAAAUGUAGAUCACAACUUGCUUCUUCACACAAAAACUGCAUACCCGUUCAAUUAUGCUCUCCAAAAAAAAGGGAUAGUACUGAUAGGAAAAUUCGAUGUACUGACUUCUGAUGACCCAAAAAAAAAAAUAUGUCUAGGUCUGAUCCUAGCUCUAGAGAUAAUACAUUUAAGUCAUCAAAUGUGGGAAGGUAUUUUGAUCAGGUUACAGAAGAAAGCUAUUCUACGAAGGUGUGACACUCAUUUUGUUGUAAUCCAGGGUGCACUCAGUGAACUAUUUUUUCUUCAUCUUUAAAGAGUAAGUGCAUUUGCAUAGCAACAUUUCAAGCUAAAAGAUCGGCCUCAAUUUCUUGGUCAAAGGCAAAGGUCAACAGUAUAUAUGUCCACUAUAUAGGCAACAAGUUGGGUAACAUAAUCCCACUAGCUCUCAUGAUGAGAAUCAGUGAGGCUAGAAAGGAAAAAAUGCACCCCUAUUGAACCAUCAGGCACCAGAAAUUCCAAACACAGAAUCAUAUAUAAGCAAUUCAGUACUUGAGAACCCAAAUAGACAUCCACCAUAAAAGCUGAUGAACCAACUGCAUGCACAUGGCUAUCCGAUGAUAUAUAGUAUCUGUCAACUUUCAUAACCAUCAAUAUCUAUAUCAUCAUUUUUCACCUCAAAAUAUACAGACAAAUAUAGAAAAAUCCAUAAUUCUGUAGAUUUAGAUAGAACAAAAAUCAUUACCUGAGAACUUUGAAGCAUCAAAACUGGCUGUUGCUUUGGGAACUGCGUUGGAAGGAAAAAAUGCACCUACAGUAACCAAACCCAUAAAAGUUUGUCACUUGUGUAUUUAAUAAGAAAAUAAAAAACAGCAUAGGAAUGAUUUGGCACACGGACAAUAUUUGUAAUAACACCAAUCUUAAACAACAGUAACUAAAAGACAUUAGGUGGUAAGGCAAGUUCUGGAAGACCAAAGUGUUUCAAGUGAUCUCAAAGUAAUCAUAAUCCACAUAAGACUAGAAAAUAAAAUUCAGGUAACUCUUCACCCUGAUGGCCAACCCCUCCCCUCUAGGACCCAUUACUUUACUAGGCAUAAUUAUAAGUCUAUUUACUGUCCUGCAGAUAUAUUAUAAUGUCUUAAUCCAAUUGCAGAAGUAUGUUUCUCAGCUUAGAUCAAAUCCAGAAAGCAAGCAAAUCAGAGGCAAUUCCAAUAGAGAGAAUAUUUUAAAGUUCUAGAAAGAACUGGAGAAACAGGGACAGCGGAGAAAAUGAAGAAACAUUACAAAAAUAAUGAAGAAUUCAUUAUGACUUCAAAAAUGAUUAAAACAACACUCAAUACAAUACGCAAAAAAGAAAAGAUAAAAAAUAAUAGCAAUAAGCAAACAGAUUAAGGUGGCACAACUAGGUGCUAGAAGGCAUAUAUAAACAUCCAAAAGAGAACUCCUCUGGAAAUGGUACUAAGACAGCCUCAAAGAUGAUAUCAAACAUGCUCUGAGCUACCUUUUUUAAUAGCAUCCUUAAACUUGCAUGGUUCCACAGCUGUAGGAUGCAAUGCAGAUAUUAAUUUCACUGCUUCUAUCAGCCACAUUGAUGGAGAGUAUCUAUGCAUCAGAUAUAUAUAUAUAUAUCGUAUGAAUGUACAAGUACCAAAUUGAUAACAUCAAGUGCCAAACAAAUGACAAGACAAUUUCUAAGGUUGCCCAGCAGGCAUUGGAUUGACAUCAUGAAAAAUUCAGCUACCAAUGGAACAUGUUCAGAUAUAUGUUAAUAAUCUUUCAUACAUUGAAAUGUUAGUGUGAAGUUAAUAUCAUACCAGACAUGUAAACACCCCAGAUGCAGCAAGAAAUGUAACUUUUCUGCAAAACACCUGGCAAACAAAGCAAUGAGAACCUUUCAGAUACUCUUACAGAUUGAACUAUCCAAACAGAUACAUAAUGCCAAAUGUUUCUCCUUAUUGCUAAUUGUCAUGUCUGACACUUGUCCCAUGUCCACCACAUUGGACACUAAUUGAAAAAAUCACUUUAUUUAUCUACAAAAUGCAUGGAAUCAAGGGUACUAUAAUCAUUUAUUAGGAAUGCAUUAUAGGAUCUAAUCACCCAUUGUUGCUCAAUAUCUCAGAGGUAAAGCAAUUUUGACUAUAAACUGACUGGUCAUAAGUUCAACAGAGAAGACUUGAUUCAUUCUGAAUUAUCCAUUCAAAACAGAAGGGCUUUCUUUCAUCAUUCAAAGUAGGUAACCCGUUCCCUAUCUUCGUCUCUAUUGCAUUCUACUUCUAUUCUAUUCUGUGAUAUUUGAGGAUCACUGCCAAUACCUUGGUGUAGGCCAGGGAUGAUCCUUUUUUCCAUCAUUUGGGGCUAUUUACAAUAGCCAAUUGAGAAUUCUCAAAUAUAUUGCUUAUUUCCAUGAGAAAGAAUUGGCUUUCGUUGGAUAGCAUGCUGUUGGUAAUAUGAGUGGCUUGGAUCUUUUGGUGAAGGAAGGACUACUAUGCAAGAUUGGGAUCAUAUUUGGUGUGGGCAUUUAUCUCUUAAAGUUCCAGGAUUUCUUGGAAUUGCAGUGGACAAGGACACUUGUGUAAGUGAUCAUGUGACCUUGGAGGAGUUUGGGUCCAACACAUACAUUAUUGGAAAUUUAGGGCAGUUGUGUCCUUCAAUGACAAGCUUUAUACAAUGGGCAGUUGAAUUCAAAGUACAAAUGGCAUUCUUUUCAUAACAUCUUCUUGGCAAAUGGUGGGGAUCCCAUUGAUGCCACUGAAAGUGCCCUUUCUUACAUGGAUGAAGAUAAGAAACACGUGUUUGAUGGUAGACCACUUGAUUAACAGAAAUUCAAGAAUAAUGGAGAGAUGAAUUAUGUGAAGAGAAGCAGGUGAAUCAUUGCCCCAACUUUUCAUUCAUUGUAAAAUGGCUUCAUAGCAGUGAGCUAUUGUCUUCUUUCACUUUUUGGAAUGAAUUGGGUGUUGGUUCACUCUUAUCUUCAUUUGAUGAAGAAUAGUGGUUUCUACCAGGGAUAAGCAGAUUAAGAGAGUUUGAACAAUUGCCUCAUAUUUGGAGCUAUUGGGAAGAUUGAAACAAUAGAAUUUUACAGAUUUCUCAACUUGUUAGUAACCACCAUGUUUUAUGGAUUUCUUGGAUUCAGUUUUUUAAUUCCCUUUCCAUUUGUUCUUAUGCUUCACAUAUAAAUGGGCAUUUUUUGCCCUCUUUCUUCUUUUCUACCAAGGUUCUUAGUCAUCCAAGAAGAGCAUCAUAAGUAGACAAGGAUCCCAUACAAACACAAAGAUAUAGUUGUGGUCCCUUCGUCUAGACUUGAAGAGUUGCCACAGCCAACACCCCAUUUUUGUGUUGAAACAUGACAGUCGUGUCUGUGUCCCCAAAUCACUGCACAAAAUGUGUAGAAUUCAUACCGGAUCAGCUUCUAAUGGCCUUCCAAAUACGGGUGCCAAUGCCUCAAUAAAGUGUCUUCUAACAUCAAUUAAUGAAACUGCAUCCAAGAUCUGAAAAACAAGAACCAAGCUAAGUACAAAUAAUUGACAUGCAAAACAUUGGUUCAUAGCCAUCAUCAGAUGAAAGAACAAUUGGACACCAAAUACAAUAUAGAAUCCAGCUUACCUGUCUCUCAAGUGUUUCUUCUAAAUUGGGAAGAUAUUCAGCCAUGCACCUAAGGAGAAAAAGAAAAACAAUGAUGAUAGGUCAAAACAAAUUAGUGCAUCCCUUGUAAUAAGAAUGUGUGAAGGCAGAAUAACAUAUGAUUACUUACAUCCCAUCCAACCAUGGAGGAAGCUUGACAUCUUCAAUAGGAAAGAGAACCUUCAAUUCAGGAGAAGAUACUAAUUUUAAACGUGGAGCUGAAGGGGCAGACACAUAUUUUCUUCCAACAGGAAAUAUAACCUACACAUCUCACAGAAUCCACUUAAAUUAAUUCAAUAUGUAGACAAAACAAAAAGUGAAACAUACGAAAAGAAAAAGAAAAAAAAAAAGUGGGGAGAAGAAGAAGAAAAUGAAACCUGUAAGUAUAUCUUCUGCUGAUGUCUCCAGUUGCAACCAAAUACCAUUUUAUUUAUAUCCAUGUCCAAAAGAGGCACUGAAAAUUUUACUUCCUCUGGCUACACUAAAAUUGAAAGGCAUAGAAACCACAAGUGUAAUCAAAACUAUGUAGCAAAGUUGCAAUAAUUCAAUAAGCUUAUGGAAUCGCCUAAAAAAACAUGAUAUUCUUAUUAAGGAGUACCUUUUCAACACCCGAACUCAUGUACAUUUCGAUUCCCUGUAACAUGUUUAUGACAAUUAAGACAAUCAACACCCAACCCAAUAUCAUUGUAUCAUAUAAUACAUGUGUGCAUAUAAUUUUAGGCGCCUAGUUUGAGGCAUCUAAUAACACAACCAACUACUUGAUCUGGGUCCAUCUAGUAACACAAAAUGCAAAAAAAUAUAAAUAAUAAAUCUUUUGCUUUGUACCCAGCAGACUUUGGAAGAAUCAAAGCUCACACCAGACAGGAAAGUCCAGCCACCAGAACAAUGCACUACAUUCUAAUUCCAGGUUGAAGACGCCUUGGUUCCUGAAGAAACUCGGUGACCUCUAAAUUAUAUUAGGAAAGCUUUUUGUUUCAAGGACAAAGAGAGUCGAUGUUUUUAUGAAUUCAUGUUCUCAAUUUUCAUUAGUUUAUUCUCCAGAAUUUCAUUAGGAAAAAAUCAUAAUUGUCUAUCUUUCCCUCUUUUUCUUUCAUGCAGGUAUCAUGCAGUUAGAUCUGGUAGACCGUGAACUGCAAACCUUCUGUUCAAGCUUGACCCUGUGUUAAAAACAUGGGUUCUAACAAGAUUCAGCUUCCAAAACUAUCACAUAUCAUCAGAUGAUCUAUAUAUACUCCCAAACUCUCCGGUCUCCCUUCCGUCAUAUUUAUUUCUCAUAUAUAGAUUACAUAGUGCAAAAGAAUUUGUGUUCAGAGUUCCUUACUAUUCUAGCCACAGUAUGCCACCAUAUCCAUCUUAAUUGCCCCUACCAAUGUGGAAAAGACAGUGGACAGGUUGAAAUACAUGAUACACGAUCUGACCAGUAAUCUCAAGUGUACCUAAGAACCCCAGACCCACUAUCUGCAUCAGAAGCAAGAUCCUCGUGUUCUUUUGCCAUUACCCUUACUAGAUUGCAUUAUUAAAACUCCCAAGGUAAAACAUACAUUGCUCCAAAUCAUGUGAUUGCCAUUUAUUGUUGGUUUCUACACCUUUUUUUUUCUACAUUGUUUUCUCUUUGCUUUAUGCCUUGAAAAUGUGGCAUGACUAUCUGUAAAUUUUAAAUCAGAAAAAAAAAUUGUGUGCUCCCUAAUUUGUCCCUCUAACCAAACUCCCAUGCAUAGAUACGCUGCACUGGCCACAAGACAUUACUUCACAAUUUAUUGUAGUACUAAUUUUGGUACACAUUUGUAGGCAUAUGAACAGAGACUUACAGACCAUAAUAUAUUUGACCAUAGUCUUAAAAUCCAUAUUUCCAAGAAAAUGCAUAAAACAUAGAAAUGAUUCAAAUUCUUACCUCCCUUGAUACAAUUGUGCUAAUUUCAAAUUUCAGUCUAUCAUCAUCAACUUCUCCAAUGCGCUUCUUCUGGUAGGACAAGUAUAGAUCCCUAUAAAACAAAAUGAUCAAAUUUCAGAAACUCAUAUAAAAUGCUGAUUAUAAUUACUAAAAUUAGUCUCAAGAAAGAAUACUAAAGGAAAACCCUAACCUCAGUUCAUGAAUAAGAGUCAGUAACCCUGAAGGGUCCUUGCUAUUCCAAUCAGACAAACUGUUCUUUGACAACUUAAAAUCCCCUUCAUCACCAGUCACACAAAAUGGAUGAAAAUUUUCAUCUUCAGGUCCAAAUAUGACAUCUGGAGCAGCCAAUGGACACUGCGCAUUAUAUAUGACAUCCCCUGAAACAAAUCAUAGUAUUAAACCGGCGGGAAUAAAGGGAAAAAAUGAAUAGAAGAAGCAAAAAUAAUCAGGAGAAAAAAAGGGAGAAAAAUGUGACGGACAUUUGAUGAAAUCUAAACAGAAGGGAAUGAGCAAAGAGAAGCGAUCCAGCAAACCAGAGUACUUGCAACCAGCCCACAUCUGAUCAAUCUGAAAAAGAUAGAGAACACUUAAGCCUGUUAUCUUUUAUUCUUAGAUAUUCUGAACUAGAUAACAAAAGCCUAACAUUCACUAGACAUAAACUCAGUUAUUCAAUUAAUUAACUAGCAUAUAAGUUCCAUUUGGUUGACGAGAAAACUCAAGAGAGGAAAUGAAAACUGGGAAUCCCGCAAGAGGUUUGAGUUGGAGCUGAAGUUCUAGAACUCUAAUUUUCUUGUCCUAUGCUCCAAUUCUCAGCAACCAAACCCUAAUUUAUACCGUAGCUGAAACUACAUAUAUAUCCUACGUUUGGUUGCCUAGAAAACCCUAGGAAAAAAAAUGUGAACUCCGAAACAAUAUUCUUUUAUUUUUCCUGAAAUUUUCAGCAAUCGAAAGGUGAAUCGGGAUUUUGAGUGUUACCUUAAUGGAAAGAGGAGAAUGAGAAAGCAAAUAAUUGAUCUGCGCAGCUAUGACCGGAGGAAAAGCAUCGGUAGUCAUGAUCUCCGUUGAUAGUGCUGCGACAAUUCACAACGGACCGCUGACCGGAGUUCUGGGUUGAUCGCCGGCGAUCUAUGCAGGUAAAGCAAAAUGGAUGUCCUCCGUGCCUUGAUAUGGUGUGGUCAAAAUGAAGUCCUUUAACGACGCCGUUUCAAUGUUGGUUUCCUUGAAAAGCUUCAAAAUUAGGGGUGUAAGUGAACACCAAAACCGUUAAAACCCAUACAACAUCAUCAAAAUCGAUGGUUUCAAAAUGCGAUUUCAAUUUAAGAUAAAUAGUAAUAAAUUACAUUAUUUAUGUGGUAUUUAAAGAGUUAAGAUGAUAAUAAAUUUGGGAAUAUCUUUAUAUAAGAUAUAUUUUAUUUGCCAAAGAGGUUGUUUGGACUAUGAGUAGCAAUUUGCCUUAGUGGAUCAUAUUGGUGUAGUAUCAAAGGUGAGACACUUAAAGCAAAUAGUUCAAUUCAAACAUAACACGAAUAAUAAUAAUCGGUUUAAAAACUUAAAUCUAAAAUAAAACUUAAUUACUAAAUAGAUAACGUAUAAUCUAUUUAACCUAUAAUGACAAGGUGUUAUUUAAUAAUUAAAUCAAGUUGGAUUUUGUAUGAAGUUAUAUGAUUAACUUCUCAAGCUGAUAUGUGUGUGACUUAAUUUGACUUAAUUAAUUAAAAUCAAAACUUAACUGAAUAAAAUAUAGAUUAAAUAUGUUAAAGUAAUAAUUAUGUUAAACAGCAUGGUUAUUAAAUAAGUCAAAUAAGUGUUAUAUAAGUUGACCAAAAAACUAACUAAUUUAUUAAAUAGGUUAUGUCUGAUACAAAUUUGACUCAAAGAGGAUUAUAUUUAACCAAAAUCUAGACAAAAAAAAAAAAAGAAAAAACAUGUUAGGGUCAAAUCAGGUCAAGUUAUUUUUAAAAAUAGAAAAUAAAAAAACUUGUUUGAAUGAGUUAUUUUUAAAAAUUAUUUUUAUGUUUUGAUUUUGCAUAAAUUUAAUUCAAGUACAACUAAAAAUGAAAGUAGUUAAAAGAAAAUAGUUUUGUAAUUAAAAAUAAAAAUUUGUAGUAAAAUAUAAAUAAUAUUAUUAUAUGUCAUAAACAUAAGGAUGUUCUUUGAGUUUUUUUUGGUUAAAAAUGAAUAAUAAUAAUAAUAAUCUAAAAUAAUAAUUAUUUAUAAUAUUUUAUUUAAAAUGAAUAGAAAAUAAAAUUUAACUUUUUAAUUUGUAAUUGAGUCAAGUUUUCCAUUACAUUUACACGUUUAAUAUUCAAUUAUGAAAAUAAUAUUUUAAAAUGUUUUGAAUAUUUUGAUUUAAUUUACAAUUAAUUGGAUUGAAUUUUUAAAUUCUAAAUUAUUCCUAAAAAUUAAAAGCUUCAUUCAAGAAUUUAGAUUAUUAAUUAUGUUUUACUUAAUUUAUAAUUUAUUUAUUUAAUUAUAAAAUUCAAAAAAUAUAGUUGUGUAUAUAGGAGAGAUAGUAAAGUUAUUACUCGUAAUUCAGUUUUGAUCUUUUCUUUAGUUAUUAAAUCCAUUUUUUGAGUUUCAAAUUAUAUGAAGUUCAUUUUUAUAGUGAGAAAUUUUAAUUUGUUUAUAUGAACCAAUUUUGAUCUAUAAAUUUAGAGUAUAUAUAGGUUUAUUAUUUAAAUUUCAAAUUAUUUUUAAAAAUUAAUACAUUCGUUAAUGAAUUCAAUGCAUUAAGUCUUGUUUUAUUUUGAUUUUAUUUGUAUAAUGAAAAAAAAAUAGAAAAUAAUAAUUCUAUAUAAAAGAUAAAUAAUAAAGUUGUUUUAAACCAUUUUUUUUUUCAUAAAUUUCUAAUAUUAAUUGGAUCACUAUUUAAAUUUUUAGUUAUUUUAAAAAUUAUUAGACUUGUUGAUAAAUUUAAUGUACUAAGUCUUAUUUAAUUUGUAAUUGAUCUGUGCAAUGAAAAAAUGUGGAAAAUAAUUAUUCUAUGUUGAAGAGAAGUAACAAAGUCAUUUUAAACUAAGCUUUUGUUUAUAAAUUUCAUAUAUUAAUUGGAUCACUAUUUGAGUUUUAAAUUAUUUUUAAGAAUUACUAAACUUGUUUAAAAAAUCUAAUGUAGUAAGUCUUAUUUAAUUUGAAGUUUAAGUGCCUAAUGAAAAAAUUUGUAAAAAUAUGAUGUAUAUGUAAGGAAUAAACUAACCAAGUCAUUUAGAAUAAAUUUUGGCUUAUGUCUUUCUAAUAUUAUUGAGUUUCAUGAUUUCUUUUAGCAUUAAUCAAAUUGAAUUUUGAGUUUCAAAUUAUUUUUUAAAAUUAAUAAAUUUUAUGUAUCAAAUAUAGUUUUAUUUGAAAUUUAUUUUUUUAAUAAAAGAUUUUAGAAAAGUUAAAAGAAAUUUUUUUAUAAAAAAAAUAUGUGUAAUUUAAAGAAAUAUCAUAUAAGGAUUUUCAGUAUUGGUGUAUUGGUAUUAGAACGUUGAGAGAUAAAAAAAUAAUGACAUCAUGUUCAAUUUUAUUUGUUUUUUAUAGUUUUUUUUUUAAAAAAAAUUAUAUUUUCCUUUUGUUUUUGAAAAAAUGAGUGAAGAUGACUUUUACUUAUUUUCUAACAAAUAUUAUCUAUUUCACUUUGUUUUUAAAACCUAAUAACAUAUAUCAACAACUUAUGAAUUUUUAAAAAUGUUAUAAAUGAAGUAAUAAAUGUCACCACAUUUAUUAUAUUAAAUGUUAAUUAGUAUUAUUUAUGAAUGUUAAUUAUUAUUAUUUAUGAAUGUUAAUUAAUAUUAUUUAUGAUUUCCAUUAAUAUUCAUUAAUAGAAAUCAUUUGGAAAGUCUAUAAAAAGACUUCCCAUCCCUGUAAUAUGUAUCCCAAGUAAAGAAAAAUUCUCUCUCUUAUUCUUUCUUUCUCUUAUUUUCAUAUUUUUCGUUUUUUCAACUCUCUUAAUUUUCUUCUCUGAUUUCUUUCUUCCCAUUAUAUAUUAUUAUCAAAAUAAUAUAUAGUUGUCUCUACUUUUAUUUUCGUUGCAUUUAUAUUCUUUUUACAACAUAUUAUCAGCAUGAAUUGCUAUGAAGGUAAUUCUCGUCUCUUAAACUUGAAGUUGCUUAUAUAAAAUAAAAUUUUAUAUAUUUAUAUUGAUAUUGCUAAAUUCAUUUAAUUUGCGUUAUAUAUUGUUAAAAGUUAUAAGCAAAUUAUUUGAUUUCAAUUAUAAUCAAAAGUUAUACCAAUGUUAUUAAUUUAUUAUAAUUGAUUCUAAUAAUAUUGUUUUAUCAUAUAUCUAAAGUUGUUUGACAAUGUUGAAUCUCAUAAAACUCGAAUUUCUCGAAUUUGUAGCACUUGACAUUUCAGGAAAGAACUAUCUAUUUUGGAUCUUUUAUGCUAAAAUACAUCUUAAUGUUAAAAUACAUCUUAAUACAAUGAAUCUUGGAGCUACGAUCAAAUAAGGAAAUCAAACAUCCUUGUAAGAUCAUGUAAAAACGUUGAUUUUCUUUCGUCAUCAUCUCCAAAAGGUUUAAAAAACGAGUAUCUUACGGUAAAGGACCCUUUUACUCUAUAGAUUAAUUUGAAGGAAAUAUAUGACCACUAGAAAAUUGUGAUUCUCCCAAAAACUCAAUAUGAUUGGGUGCACUUGAGGUUGCAGGAUUUUAAAACUAUUAGUGAAUAUAACUCUACACUUUUCAAAAUCAUCUCUCAAUUAAAGUUGUGUGGAGAAAAAAUCACAGAAGAAGACAUGCUAUAAAAAAAAAAUUACUAUGUUUCAUGCCUCGAAUGUGCUUCUACAACAGCAAUAUCGAGAGCAUAAAUUUAGAAAAUACUAUGAAGUAAUAAUCAUGUAUUUUUGUUGUUGAACAAAAUAAUGAGUUUUUGAUGAGAAAUCACAAGUUUCAUCUAACUGGAUUUGAACCAUUCCCUAAAAUGAAUCUAAUAUUGUCUCAAACUCGUGGAUGUGGACAAUGAUGAGGGCAUGGUUGUGGUCGUGGAAGGAAUCCUCGAUACCAUGGUUAUUAUGGUAAUAAUUUCUCAAAUUAUUAGAAAAUGAAAACCUCAUUGCACCACCAGAAGUGGAAUAAUAUUGAGGCAAAACAAGAAAAUGGGAAGUAUUUACAAGAUAAACCUCAUAAAAACCAUGAGAAUAAUUAUUAUAGAUGUGGUAUGAAGGGGCAGUGGUCGUGUACCUGUCGUACACUCAAACAUUUGGUCGACCUUUACCAAGCAUCGAUAAAAGCAAAAGGAAAAGAGAUAGAAAUGAACUUUAUCGAUGGUUUUGUAUUGGACCUAACCUAUUAUGACAUUGAUUUCUUUGGAGGUCCUAGUGAAAAAACAAACCAUUUAAUAAAAUGAUGAGAGUGCUAAUAUUGAUUAAUGUUACUUUUAUAUAUCAAAUAAUAUAUGAUUAUUAUGUCUUAUAUUUAUUUCUGAUUAUUGCAUUUUCUUUUAUAUUGUUAUUUACAUUCUAUAAUUUUUUUAAUAUUAGUUGUAUCUAAAAAUCCACGUGUUAUUUGGUCUCAAAAUGAAUGAGGAUGAUGUAUGUCUUGCAAACUAUGCAACCACGCACACAAUUCUUUGAGAUAAAAAAUAUUUCAUUGAAUUGACAUUGAUAAAAACUAAUGUAAGUCAUAUCCGGUACUACAAACUUAGUUGAAGGCUCUAAAAAAGAAAACAUAACACUACCAAAUGAAACUAGAUUUCAUAUAAAUGAUGCUUUAUAUGCUAACAAAUCCAUAAGAAAUUUACUCAAUUUUAAAUAUAUCUAUAGAAAUGUAUAUCAUAUUGAAACUAUGAAUGAAGAUAAUGUAAAAUAUCUUUACAUUACUUCAAUUAUAUCUAGCCAGAAGCUUAUAAUGGAAAAAUUCUCAGCUUUCUCCUUUGGGUUGUAUCAUACAACUAUAAAGCCUAUUGAAUCAUAUGUUGUCGUGAACCAAAAGUUGAACGACCUAAAAGUUUUUGUCCUUUGGCAUGACAGGCUAGGUCACCUAGGGUCUUCAAUGAUGCAUCGAAUAAUCAAACACUCACAUAGGCAUCAACUAAAGAACCAAAAGAUUCUUUUGCCCAAUCAAUACUCAUGUGUUGCCUGCUCACAAGGUAAAUUGAUAGUCAGACCAUCUUUUAUUAAAGUUAUACCUAAGUCACCAGUUUUUAGAAAGAAUACAUGGGGACAUAUGUAGGUUUAUCCAUCCACCAUGUGGAUCAUUUCAUUAUUUUAUUAUCUUAAUAGAUGCUUCUACUAGGUGGUCACAUGUUUGUCUCAUUUCUACACGUAACGUUGCCUUUGCUAGAUUCCUUACACAAAUGAUCAUAUUAUAAGCACAAUUUCCAUAUUAUUCAAUUAAGAUAAUACACCUUGAUAAUGCUAGCAAAUUUACUUCUCAAAUAUUCAUUGACUACUACUGUAUGUCAAUAGGAAUAAAUAUUGAGCAUCUUAUUGCUCAUACCCAUACCCAAAAUGGUUUAACAGAAUCCUUUAUCAAACGUCUUCAAUUAAUAGCUUGAUCAUUACUAAUAAAAACCAAGUUACCCACAUCUGUUUGGGGACAUGCUAUUAUGCAUGUUGCAACUUUAGUCUGUAUUCGACCUACAACUUACCAUGAAUACUCUCAUUCACAACUUGUGCUUGGAAAACAACCAAAUAUCUCUCACUUAUGAAUCUUUAGUUGUGGUACCAAUUACACCUACACAACACACUAAAAUGGGUCUCCAACGACAACUUGGGAUUUAUGUAGGUUUUGAUUAUCCAUCCAUCAUAAGAUAUCUUGAACCUUUGACAUACGAUGUUUUUACAACUCAUUUUGAGGAUUAUCAUUUUAAUGAGUGUUUUCCCGUUAUUAGGGGGAGAAAAACCGAUUCCCAAAUAAUGUCGAGAAAUUAUUUGAAAUGCAUAUACCAUGUCUCAUCUUGAUAUUUGUACAAUUCUUUAGGACCUCAGACGUUACCAACUCUCCUAAAAGCAAUUGCUGUUAGGAAAUGCGCAUACCCUAACCUUAUAGUGCAUGCACCCAAGUGCCCACAGCGAACACAAGGGGAGUUGAUGGACACGGCCAACCCUCUGAUCUGCCAACAAUCUCCUUCCCAGCGACACCCCUAGGGUUCGAACCCGUGACCUUGGCUCUGAUAUCACUUGUAGGACCUCAGGAGCUACCAACUCUCCUAAAUGCAAUUGCUGUUAGGAAAUGCACAUACUCUAACCUUAUAGUGCAUUCACCCAAGCACCCACGACGAACACAAUGGAAGUUAAUGGAUGUGGUCAACCCUCCGAUCUGCCAACAAAUUCAAUGUAAACUAGAAGUUCAAAGGAUCAUUCAUUUGCAAAAAUCUUGCAAAUCAAUUACCAGAUGCAUUCAUUGAUAUAAAUAAAGUAACAAAGUCACAUAUCCUAACUGCAAAUACUCCAACACGGAUUGAUGUCCAUGUAGGACAGUUAAUAAAUAAAUCAAAGAUACGUCUGAAGCGUGGUAGACCUGUCAGCUCAAAUGAUAUAACUCCCUGAAAGAGGAGAACGUAAGAAAAACUUAACACUUUAAAAGAGACCAUCAAAAUGACUAUUCGGUCUAAAAUUGAUAAAUAUUUUUCCUCAAAAAAGACACAAAUAAUACAAAAAGCCCCUGAAGAGACACAUAUUGAAUAAGAAGGCCUUGAAGAGGCACAAGUACCUGAAAAUUGUGAGAUCUCAAUAAGUUAUGUACAUACAAGAGAAAAAUAGGAUCAAAAUAAUAUUGUUAUUAACAAUAUUUUCGUUUUCCAAGUGGCCUUUGAUAUCAUAAGAAAUAAUGAAAAUCCCAAACCACGAAAUAUAGAAUGACGUCAUAGAAAUCAUUGGCCCAAAUGGAAAAAAGCUAUGUAGGCAAAGUUAAACUUAUUAACAAAAUGAGAAGUUUUUUUACCUGUAGUCCAAACGCCUAAAGAUGUAAAGUCUGUUGGGUGCAAAUGGGUAUUUGUACAAAAACACAAAGAAAAUAACGAGAUCAUAAGAUAUAAAAUGCGAUUAGUAGUAUAAGGUUUCUUGAGAAACCUGGUAUUGACUACGAGGAAACAUACUAUCCCAUCAUGAACGCAAUCACAUUUUGUUUCUUAAUUAGUUUGGUAAUCUCAGAGUGACUAAAUAUGUGUCUCAUGGAUAUUAUUACAAUAUAUUUAGUCGGAUCCAUGGAUAAUGAUAUAUACAUGAAAACCCCUGAAUGAUUUAAAUUGUCUAAAGCAAAUAGUACAAAACCUCAUAACAUGUAUUCAAUCAAAUUACAACGAUCCUUGUAUGGAUUAAAGUAAUCUAGACGCAUGUGGUACAAUCACCUUAGUGAAUACUUACAAAAAGAAGGGUAUGUGAAUAACCCUAUAUGCCCAUGCAUCUUCAUUAAGAAAUCAGAAAUCGAAUUUGUAAUUAUUGCAAUGUAUGUUGAUGAUUUAAAUCUUGUUGGAACUCCUAAAGAGCUCACAAGAACAACAAAUUACUUAAAAAAUGAAUUUGAGAUGAAGGAUCUUGGAAAAGCAAAAUUUUAUCUCGCCCUACAAAUCGAGCAUUUUCCAAAUGGAGUUUUAAUAUAUCAAUCAACAUACAUUAAGGAAGUUUUGUAACAAUUGCACUAUCUUCGAAGACAUUGGAAUGGUAUCAAGCAUAUAUUGCGCUAUCUUCACAGAACUAUUGAUAUGAGUUUAUUUUACUUAAGGAAAUCAAAGUAACAAUUGCUUAGAUAUGUAGAUGCAGGAUACCUUUCAGAUCCACAUAAAGGUAGAUCAUAAAUAGAGUAUGUGUUUAAUUGCAAUGGUAUUGUUAUUUCAUGGAAAUAUAUCAAACAAACAAUGGUGGUCACAUCAUCAAAUCAUUCAGAAAUACUUGCAAUUCAUGAAGCAAGUCACGAAUAUAUAUGGUUAAGAUCUAUGAUCCAACAUAUUCGGGAAUCAUGUAGACUCUCCUCUAUCAAAGGUAACCCGAUAAUAUUACUUGAAGAUAAUAUUGCAUGCAUUGCAUAGAUAACAGAGGGUUAUAUUAAAAGAGAUAGAAUUAAACGCAUUUCACCAAAAUUCUUUUAUACAUAUGAACUCCAGAACAGUGGUGAAAUUGAUGUUCAACAAAUACGUUCAAGUGAUAAUCUAGCAGAUUUAUUCACAAAGUCAUUGUCAACCUCAACAUUUAAGAAGUUAAUACACAAGAUUGGAAUGCGUCAACUCAAGAAUAUCGACAUGAGAGAAAAUAUGCUUGUAAAAAGGUGUUAGUAUACUAUACUUUUUUUUUCUUCAUCCAUAUUUUGUCUCAUUGGGUUUUACUGGUAAGGUUUUUAAUGAAAUAGUCCUAACAUACCAAUAGCAACUUAAAGAAUUAUAAGAAUAUUGUACUCUUUUUCCUUCACUAGGUUUUUCCCAUUAGGUUUUUUACUAGCAAGGUUUUAAUGAGACAUAUUCUUCUAAUGUGGUGGACAUCCAAAGGGGAGUGUUAUAAAUGAAGUAAUGAAUGUCACCACAUUUAUUAUAUCGAAUGUUAAUUAAUAUUAUUUAUGAAUGUUAAUUAAUAUUAUUUAUGAUUUCCAUUAAUAUUCAUUAAUGGAUGUAUUAAUGGAAGCUAUUUGGAAAGCCUAUAAAAAGGUUUCCCAUCCCUAUAAUAUGUAUCCCAAACAAAGAAAAAUUAUCUCUCUCUCUUAUUCUUUCUUUCUCUUAUUUUCCAUAUCUUUCAUUCUUUCAACUCUCUUAAUUUUCUUCUUUGAUUUCUCUCCCUAUUAUAUAUUAUUAUCAAAAUAAUAUAUAGUCAUCUCUAGUUUUAUUUGCAUUGCAUUUAUCUUCGUUUUACAACAAAAAAUAGUUUUUUGUUUUUAAAAACAGAAAACUUGUAGACCUUAAAAAUUGUCUCAAACUCAUUUCUAACUUUUGUUUUAAAUCCACUUCCUUUUCCACAUUUUAUAGGCCUGGUUUUGGAGGAUUUUGUAGGCCUAAACCCUAGGUUAGAGGUCUCCUUAAUUUGGGUUUAGUUUCAAAGUGAGUUUGAGCCUUGGGUGGAAAUGAAGACAAGUGUCAAAAUCCUUACCUCCCUUAACCUAUAAACAAAGGCAUUGAACUUUGUUUUUAAAGAGACUUUCUUGCAUUUUUUAAAGGAAACUCUAUCAAAAUUGAGAGAGUAAAGGAAAAGAAGAGAAGACUCAAAGCUUGAGAAGCAAGUUUAGCUUUGGAAAUAGGGUUCCAACUUACUAGAAGCCAAGUGUUUUUCACAAGGAGAUUUUUGGGUGAGAUCAUCUUUAUUUCAUUUUUAUUUUUUUGGUUUAUUGUUAAUUUAUGAUCAUUUUCUUUUAUUUCUUGAAAUAAUAUGUAAUUUGGUGUGGAUAUUGAAAAGUCAUACACUUGCUUAUUGGAUUUUCUCUUCAUCUAUGGCUUUUAAUAUUUUUUUUCUUUAUUUUGUUCGUUUUGGAUACUUAAUGAGAUGUUUGUUCUCUUGUUUAAUUUGUUGAUAAGUUGAUUUCAAGUCUUGCCUAAUUUUGGUUACAUUCAGUUUUUAGCUUGUUUUCUCAUUUGAAAGCUUAUUGACUAAAUCAUGACAUAUGGCUUAUUUGGAUUUGAAAUCCUUUAUUUAUUUUUUUUUCAUUUAUCUUUUGAGGAUUUCGUUUUCCAUUUUAUUUAAAUGGUUUUUGAAAGUUUUGUGACUAAUUUUAAAAUAAAAUUUAAAAGCCACAAAGUGUUUGUUUAUUUGCCAAAGAGAAUUUCUAAAACCUAUUUCUGCCAUUUUUGGUUUUCUUUGCAAAUCUAGAUGUAAAACUCAUUUUCAAACUCUUUUUGAUUGAAUUUCAAACACCUUUCAAUGGCUAAUUUCAUGGUCAAAGAUCAAACCCCUUACCAUAGGUUUUGGUAAGCAUCAUGCUUGAGAAAAUUGAUAAGUGCUUUCUUUAUCUUUUUGUGAUUUUUGAAAGGUUUUCUAAACUAAUUUUUGGAGAACAAUUUUCAAUCUUUAUGAAUCCAUUUUCAUAAUCAUUAGGGGCUUGAGAUUAUGAUAAUUUCAUGGUUAUUAAUGGUUGUCACUAGCUUGAGCAAACAUGACUUAGAUUUACAUAGAAGCUCUCCUCUCUAUGAACGUCUUCAUGUAAAUUUUAGUCAUGUUUGCAUAUGUGAGUAUUAGUUUGGCCUUCCAUGCCUCACAUGAGCCUAAUCUCAUGUUUAUUUGAGGGUUGAGAAUAGGUGUUAGCCUUGUAGUUAACCUAUGACUCACUUCAUUAGUUUACAUUAUUCAUUUCUCUAACUUGUGAUUUUUAUAAUUUUUUUUUUAUUAUUUUAAAACCUCAUGAACUUUUUCUCAUAUUCAUUAAAGGGUUGAAAUGUGAACUUAUCCAUGGAAAUAAAUUUAGGUUUGUUUCAGAGCCCACAACUCUUACUUAUUGAGAUUUAAUUCUUUACUGCCCUAUUUUUUUACUUCCAAGAUGUUUUUGCAAAUAUGGACUUUUUGGUUUUUUCUAAAAUAUUUUUUAGGCUUAGGAUGUGUUUUGGACUUCUUAAUGUGUCAAAUAAUUUUUGUUUUAUUAAAAAACUCUUCUCCAAGUUUGUUGAAUAAAUUAGUUUUUCCAAGUGUUGUGUUGUUCCUAUAUUUUACCCUAAAAAUGUUUUUGUAAAUUAGUCUUAGUUAUCAAGGUUUUCAUUAAUUUUGAGUUUUUUUUUUGUCUUUUAAACUUCUUAAAUAAGUUUUAGGAGCCUUAACUUCAUUGAAAAAUCUUUUAUUAAACUUGUGAAUUAAUUUAGUUUUUACAUGAUUAUUGUACUAUCUGAUUUAGAGCUAUGAGAUGUUAUUUUAAUUUUGAUUAUUUGGUGCAUGUUUGGGCCUUUCAAACUUUUAAAAUGUAAUCUAGACAUCUCAUAUAUGUUGUAAAUUUUUGUUUUGAUUUUUAUCUCAUUUAUAACCAUUUUAAAUAGAUUUAUUUUGUAAGUAUCGUAAAUACAUGUUUGUUGUCAUGUUGUGACCCUUUUAUAUAUUUGUACAGUAUAGUUCCCCCUUGAUGCUUAUUUCCCUGUAUUUGGUCCUUGGCUUGGGUCAUAUAUGUCUUAUACAUAUUAGUUGAUGUUUACCUUGUUUUCAAAUUAUUUAUUAUACUUGUAGACAAACUUUUUCUUUCUUAUGUAAGGUGGUGUUUGUUUUUUUGGCUUUUUGCUGAAAACCAUUUAGUUUUAGAAUUUAGGUUGUUUGUUUUUUUACUUUUUCAUGACUUAUUAUAAACUUUUUACUAAAUAGAAAAAACCAAAAUAUGUGGCUUUUUCUAAAUAGAAAAAAUAACACAAUGGUUUUUUUUACUUUUUAAUACUUAAUAGAAAUAAAAUACUAUAAAAACAAACAUCUUAAUAUUUAAUACUAUUAAGUAUUAAGGUUCUAUUUAGAAUUAAGUAAAAAAACAAACACCACCUAAGUGUGUUGCUUUUAUUUGGCAUUUUUUAGGUAUACUCUCUUAUUUACUUGAUUUGUUUGAUUCUUUUGAUAUACAUAAAAUUCUCACCUUAGUCUAAUUGAUUAUUUUGUAUUGUUAUCUAUGGGUAUUUAUAGUCUAUUAGUCAAUUCUCUCCUACUCGACCUCUUUAACGCUUAGAGAAUGUUAUCUUAUAUUUCUAAUAUGUAACUUGACUAUUGAAUUUAAACUCAGUUUUCAUGAAUAUAUUUUAAAAAAAAAGAAAUAAAUUAAAACAAGUGGUGACUUUAAUUUUUAAAAAAUUAAUUUUUUUCAUUAAUAAAAAAUGAAUCUUUAUUAUCGAAUGAAAAUACAAAUAAAAAAAUACAGAUCCACAAAAUUAUUUUUUACUCACGGCCAAGCAAAUUCUUAAUUUUUUAAUAUAAGCUUUAAAAAGUUGUUGUAUCUUACACAAAAUUUGCUAUUAUUCUUUAAUUUUAAAAAUAGAAAAAAAAUAUUGAAAGACACUAAAUUAAUAUAUAUAUUUUUUAAUUAGAUACGUCUAUGAGGCGGGCAGGCGAAGUCCCAACCCGACCGGCUAAAAAAAAUUAAAAUCGAAAUCUCAAAUCCGUCCAUGGCUCCUUUUUCUAUACACUCUGAUAACGAAUUUACGAGUGGGGGCAUUUUGGGCAUAGCGUAACAAUAGGGACAGAAUCGUCAAUACGAAAAGCUGAAAACCCUAAAGAAGGGAGCCCAUCUUCUUUAAAUUUGAACAACCGUAAGAGCCUUUAGCAAUCGAAGCGAACCAAGUCUGAGUAUCUUUUGCUGGUUCAGGGACCAGACACUCAGAUCUCUCUUCCUCUUUCCCUCUCUCUCUCUUAUCUCUGUUUUAACCUGAUGUUUCUUUUUCUCUUGGAGAUAGCGAAACCAGGUGAUGAGUUUGGAUUAAAUUUUCUCACGACGGUCGUCUGAGACACAAUGUGUCGCCUUUGAUGCAUCGAUCCAAUACUUCUCUGAUGGUUUCUUGUUUACUUGUUUGUUCAUUUACCCUUUUUGUUGUCAUUGAACACAUGAUGUUGGAGCGAGCAUGGUGAUGAUGAACUUAAGAUCUUCCGAUUGAUUCGUCAUGACAGGAAAAUAAUACCUCCUACUCAUUCUGAAUGCUCCUCCUCCAUGUCUCCUGUGUUCAAUCUUGAUUGGAUUUUGGCUUUCUUGAAUCUUGAUUAGGUAGGGUUUUGUUGAUACAAAUAUGCUUUUUCUUGUUAUUUUAAUCAGUUUUGAGAGAUUAGGUUUUAUAUUUGGAACGGGCACUAUGAGGAUAAGUAUCCUUAAUCCAGAAUUACAGGUUGAAAUCCUGUAUGAUUUUUUAUUUCUUUUAAAACUAGUCCUUUUCAUUCUGAGUGCCACAGUUACGAACUCUUAGCCUUUUUUUUUUUUUUUGAAAAUACUGUUUUGAUUCGUUUUGAGGGUUAGUCGAUCUUCUCUGGUUUCUUUUAAUGUUUCAGGAUAUUUGUUUUUUUAACAAUUUUUCCAAUCUUCAUUUUAACGAUUAUGUAUUCUCUGAUUCCUGAAAUUGUGCAAAGACACCUGUGACAAUUGAUUUUUGUUGUUUCGGGUUGAAUUAGAAUCCGCAAAUUUUUAUGAAACAAAUCAUCUUCGUUUCUGAAGAAUUGAUCUUCUAAAUCUAAGAUGGAAAAAAAUAUAUAUAAAAGAGAAAUUAUCAAGAGAUGGAGCUUGAUUUAAGGUGUCCAAUUCUAAGAAAUCACUUGUUACUACAUAUACACCCUGGGGCAAUCAAUUUUCUUGAGAAUUCUCAAUGACCUAAUAUUUAAUAUAUACCACAUAGUCUCAGUCGAGCGCCCAAGCCUGCAACAUUCGAUUAAAUGGCAGUUAGCAAUGAAGGCAAUAUCACAAUUGACAAUUCUCUAAAUAUUUUUUUAGGGAUGUCUUUGUGUACAAACCUGGAUCUUGCCAUCAAGGAAACCAGCAAAAAGCAUUUCUCCAUCUGUAUCUGAUGCCAAGGAUGCAAUCUUCGCAUGUCCAUGACCACCGAUUUUAAUGGAAGCUACUCUUGUCACUGUUUCCUUAAACCACACCUCAAUGAUCCCAGAUUUACUGGCAGUGAAUAUAAAGUCACUAUUCACAGCUAAGCGCUGGAUGUCCAAUCCAGUCAAGAAAGACCCAGUUAAGGCCUUGGUCGAGAGGGAGAACACCUUCAAAAUCCAAAUUUGUUUCAUUAGAACAUGAAAUUGAUCAUCUUAGUCACUGAAUUUGUCCAAAUGUCAACAUUUCCAGAGAAGCAUAGUACCUUCCCUGCAGUUCCAUCCACUGAGGAACCGCCAGCAUAGAGUAAACCAUCAUGAAUCCGCAAGGAAUAUAUUGUUUGUUUACCAAGCAAUUUUCUUGCACCAGAGUAAAAUGUAUUUGUAGUGGAUUUACACAAAUCAACCUCCUGCCAUUUUCCCCAAAUUUUCAAUAUUAUGGUAUAUGUGUUAGACUAGAUUCCGUCUGAGUUAUAUUUGUUUGAUGAAAACGAGAGCCAAAGUCAAAUCAACCAGAUGUGUUUACCUGGAUGCUGUAACCAGUGCAACCGCAAUACAGUCUAUCCUCUGCCAUGUCAAGGCUCUUGACAUUUUUGUUAAAGUUUAUAUGUUUUGGAACCCCAGACCAACUGUAGACCUGCAAUAAAAGGAUCUUGUUAGGUACCAUCUAUGUUUUUUUUAUCAAUUGCCCAGAUGGGAGAUAAGUUACAUUGACUCCAGUUCCUUGAGAAGAGAAGCAUGCAAAACUGGCAUUAGCUGUCAACUGGUAUACCGCCUCCUUCACAUCAUGAACCUGAACACAGUGAAUUUCUUCUGGUUUGACCGUCCAGACCUGUGCAUCAACAACUAAGCAACUGCUUAUGAUGCUUCAAAAAAUGGUUCAAAAUACUUGAAAUUAUGGAUACAAGGCAGCUUGGAGAGUCCACAAUGAUGUAGUUUAGUAGUAAGUGAAAAGGCAGCAAAAAGAAUGAUUCAUCCUAGCUGUUGGGUUAAUCGCUACAUUAUUCAAUGAGGAUCACUCUAAGCUAGCGUCACCUUGUUAUCGAAUCGACUAAUGGGAAGCCAGUAAUACUUUAUAUGAAAGUCAACACAUACCCAGCUUAAAGGUUACUUAGAGUGCAUUUGGUUUUUAAAAAAAAAAACAAAUUAUGUUUGGCAAAAUUUAAAAAACACUUUUAAGAAGUUGAAAUAUUAAUUAUAAUACUUCAUUGAAAAGCAUUUGAUUGGUGAUUUUCUUAAAACAUGUUCAGAGAAAACAUUUUUAGUAAAAGCACUUAAAAUGAAAACCCCACCAAACAUAUUCUUAAUAUUUGAUCAUAUGCAAAAGGAUUUAAGGGUAUCUCUCCAAACAUUGGCAAGUCAAUCUUGUGUGACUUUCCCAAUUGAGAUUGGCAAGCUAUAUUGCAAUUUUGAGAAAACUUACCCGAAUUGUUUUGUCUAAGGAACCACUAUAUAACUUGUCACUUGAAGAUGAGGCAUAGAGGCAUGUGACAGCCUUUGUGUGUUCACGAACUUCUUGAAUCAACCUUAAGUCUCUCUUCCCAGCAUCCCAUACCUAAUGUGCAAGAUGAAAGGAACUCUUGUGGGAUCAUGUUGUUUGUCCAUGUGUGUGCACGAUGAGUGGAGAGAUAGAGGGAGAUGCAUGCAAGCGUGGUUUUUGAAGUUCAAACCUUUAUAGUUCCAUCAGAAUGGCCGCUCAGAACCCAACUUUUUAGAGGAAGCAAAGACAGAAUCCCACCGUUUGAGCAUGAAUCUAGCUCAACCACUUCAUCACAACACCACAACUCUGUCUGAAACACAGGAAAUAUUAGGAGAAAAUAAUCAUCCAUGUAUAACACAACUUGAAAUUAAGGGAUGCAUGGUCCAUUACUCACUGGAUCAACAGAAGGCAGCUUUAUCAAGGCUUUUAGCAUGUCACUUACAACCACUGAAUUCUUUUUAAGCUUUCUCAAGGUUUUAUACAUGCACUUGGCAUAUGCUCCCAGUUCUUCUAAUGCACCUUAAAAUUUGAAAUUUCGAGUUAACAAUUGUAUAGAUAGAUACAUUCAAAAGGUUUUUGUAUGAUUAUUAAGUUCUCCGUUAGCAAAAUUACCUGGAUCAUUAAGGAAGCAAUUCAAAGCAAGGGUUGCCAAAAUCUUCUCCUCAAGAUUCUUUGAUGAUUGGAGGACAUUGAUGAAUGGCUCGAGGAAUGACUUGUGAGCAACAUUUCUUACACCAGUGUCAGGAAGAUGAUAAAGCAUGUAUGUAAGCCAUGUGGCAACAACAAGGCAUGACUUUGCUAUCUCUAAAGAAUUACUCUUCAGGCAUUCCUCCAAGGCUUUAAAGAUGGAUCCUUUUUCAUGGUUGCAAAGAACAAAAACUACUCUUUUUUGCCAAGAAGUGACAGCUUUCUCUUCCUCUUCCUGUAUAUAAAUAUUUAGAAUUCAAGAUCGAUGCAGAGAGAAGGAAAAACAUAAAGAGCAACAAGCUCCAAAACAACCCAAACUACAUCAAUGCUAACCGUUGUCUCUGUCAGUUCAUUUUCAUAUAUUUUCAGCCUCUCCGACUUCAUUAAAGCAUGGUAAGGUUGAUCAUAUCCUGCGAUCUUGAGUAACCAGGCUUCAGUGUAGGACUUCCCUGAGGUAGUCAGAUGUCCAGAAAGAGAUAAUAAAGCAUCUAGAGCCAUGAUUUGAGAAUGAGGAAAGUCUUUUUUGUGAAGUGCUUCAACUAGUGCCUCUAUAGCUUCUUCCCUGUAAAUGCUCAUCUUUCGAGGCUCAACCUGGAGAAGUAAAAUUAUAGGAAUCUGUGACUACAUCAUCUAGCCAUUAUGUUGAACUAAUUUGUUUCCAAUUUUCAAGUAUUGUCGUUGUUUAAAAAGAAAGGAGAGAAAGAAAGAAAGAAAGAAAGAAAUCUAGGCAAACCAGAAGAUCAAGCUGAAGAAGAAGAGAAGCAAUUGCAGGUUGCUGCUCCAUGGGGGCCAUUUGUAGAUACACAAGAAAUGUGUGCAUGGUACUAAAAGCUCCUUCAUCUUUAAUUAUCUUCAAGAUCUGGUUGCAGAAUAUCCUCCUGAGACACCAUAAGAAGAGUAAACUCUUGGAUAGAAUGGAAUACCAUUACACAUUUAUGGACUUAAGAGAGAUUUUCACAAAAGGUCCUAGUGUGCAAAAAUGAUCUGAUACAGAUAGUGUGAUAAGUAAUCUCUAAGAGUCCUCAGAAGAAAUUCAAGAUCCACCCAAAACAGGAGAAAAGACACAUGGUCAAAGUACAUUGUAUAUCAAUAAUUUGGUUUCAAAUGAGAGUACAUUUAUAAAUGUAAUUAGAACGAUGUGGUUGGAAUAUAGCUAUUAAUAGUUAAUAUCAAAAACCUACCUUUAGAAAAUAAAUUAUGAAACUAGUGCAGCCUGAAACUCAAUUCAAAUUCAAUUGUUGAGACAUGAGUCAACUUGUAAGCUAGGGUAAGUGAAAUCAAGAUGUUAAGAGUUAGCUUAGAAGCUAGAGCACCUUAAAUCAAAACUUGAGCCAAGUUGAUAGACCAGUCUUUUGCAAUCAUUACACCCCUCAAAAAAGCAAAGGAAUAAUAUGAAGUAAUCAAGGGACUUCCAAGCUACUUAGGAUACUUUCCAUAGAGAAAAUAAAGAUAUAGUUCUCAAAGUAAAAGAUAUGUAUACCUGUUUAACUGAACUAGCUCAGAGAGAAACUUUGUGCAUAUGCCUCUAACAUAAUCAUCUCCAGUAUGAAAUAAUUCAAGCACGGAAGACAGAUCGAUUCUAUUUGCUAUCAAAUUCCUGCAACUUCUAUCUGCAUGGAUACAACAUAAAAGGAUGGAUACGAUGGCCUGCCUUCCUUCUACCUUAUCCAAACACUUGAUUAAUGCAGGAAUCCCGUUUGCAGAGAUAACACUCAUAGCAUUGAGGGAUCUGCUGUUUUCAUCCCCUCCCAUCAAAAUCUGCUCAAGCAAUGCUAUAGCAGCAUCCUUGGGCUCCAUUACUAACAGAAGAUUAUCCGAUUCGUCAUUUUUGUUCAGAAUUAGGUGUACUAGAGAGGGUAUAAAGUUGCGAGCUGAAAGCUGAGUGAAUGCUGGCCUCAGCUGGUAUAUAAGAACAGCAGCCUCUGCAAGACCUUUCUUUAGUAGAGCAGCCAGACAAUCAAAAUCAGAAUCUACAUUGGUAAGAGUCUCUCCCACACUUUCAUCAGCAAAUAUUAGCACAGAAAGAAUGUGAAUUGAUGUUCUGAGAACUUCUCUGUUCAUGGAAGCUGAUAGUAUUUCCACAAGCCCAUUCACAAUUGUUGGUUCGGACAAAUAAGAAUGAAUUCCCGGAUCAGCCUUUGAGUCUUUCCACAUCUUGGCUAUUGCCAGCACAGCUGCUUCACACUCUUGUAAAUCAUCUGAAUUACAGAGACACAAAACAUAGGGUUUUAACCCAUUGAUAACCGCUUCAGUAGCAGCUUGAGAUAUCACACUGGUUGGUGAAGUAGAUACCACUGUUUGCAUAAAUCUUUUGCACUUCUGAUUAGUACAAUCAUCUGACUUCUUAUGGUCGGGGGGAUUACAUGAUGGAGAAGAUGCCAACAUAAUUUCUUUUGUGGACGGGGGGCUGAAUGAGUUUCUUGGUGUUUCAGGGUAAGAGAACUCCUGAGCAACAUCAGGAUAUUGUUCUUUCCAAGUAGUGAUUAAUCUCUUCAAAACAUAGUUUGUUUUGGGCAGUGAGCUGGCAGAUAGAGGUUGCCGUGUAAUGGGACAUGUUGUGUUUCCUCUUUUCAGCCAUUCUUGAAUUGCUUUUCUUUCAUAUGUUUGACCUGUUUCAAGGGUAACUGCAUCACUAAAAAUCUGCCCUGUGAUGGGGCAGACAAAAUCUUUAGGCGGCCUUGACCUAGGAGUCAGUUUAUCAGAUAAUGGGAGAGAAAUGCAGCUCUGGCUUCCUUCAUCAUUUUCAUUAAGGGAGCUGCAGAAAGCCAAAGAAAUUUUAACUUAAUAUGAGAGAGCAAUGGUUUUCUUGUAAUAGACCAUUGUUGGAGAAAUUUUGGAUGAUGGUACAACGGGAAGAGAAGACAAACUGUAUAAAUUCCUGAAAAAUGGAAAAGAAAAAAAAAUUUGGUUACCUAUUUUCUGAUACUUGUCUAUUCAGAUUUUGAUGACUGAUACUUUGAUUGUGUCCAUGGUUUUUCCUGCAGCUUCUUGGUAGCUCCUGAAUCACAAAUCUACUUUCAGUUAAACUAAUGUCUAACAUUAUGAGUUCAAAUAAUACAAAUGGAUGAUGAAAAUUUAAAUAGAGAGAGAGAGAGAGAGAGAGAGAGAGAGACAUACAAUCACUUCACCAUCUGAGUCUGCUGAGCUAAUGCUGGAAUCUUUAUACAAACGUGGAGACACAGGCAAGGAGGUGGAGACAGUGGAAUCCAUGGCACGGCUGGAUAAGAGGCGCAAUACGGAUGUGGGACCUUUAUGACAAUGCGAGUCUGAUUUUGGAGAUGAAAUCUUUAGAGAAGUUUUAGGGGAGUCCGUGGAAGAAAAACUUGUCGAAGAAGGUAGUUGACUCCUAAUUUUUGGUGGCUGUACUUUUGGCCCCAUUUCCUUAUAAAUGUUCAUUUUCAUGCUACUAUGAGAUACUACUUGAUAUGUUUUGUCCUCAGAAUCCAUAUAAGCACUAUCAGGCUCAUAAUCUGAAUUAUCUUCAUUUUCCUCAAUCGUUUCCUCCUAAUAAUAAGAACCAUUAAGAAAGCUUUUGUUAUUCCAAAAAACAAUGUUCUGAGAGGAACAUGAAACAACAAAUAAUUAUGCAUUUAUUGGUCAAGCUUGUAAAUAGCCAUGUGAAUGCAAUGAUUCAGUUAUCAGCCUUACUUGAAGGUCCCACAUAACAGACUCCUCCAGGUUCUGUGAGGAUUUGGAAGUGACAUUCAAUCUGCUUGAAGCCAAAUGUCCAGAAGAAUACAUAUAUGAGAGCCUUUAUUAAAUGAGAACUUGAUUUUACUUUUAUAAAAUCAGCACCAAAAUAACGAACCGCUCAACUAAAAGUUUCCAUGAUGAAAAGAAAACUUCAAAUCAAUUACAAGUGGAAACUAACCUGCAAGCUUCUCUUGCAUUGUCCUUAGCUUUAAGAAUUAGAGAAAACCCAGCACUCUUAGGUAGAAUGGGCCCAAAUUUUACAUAAUCGGGAAUUGACCUGCUGACCUCAUGCAUUGGAGUCAUUGGUGGCUCUGCAAUUGGCAACAUCGGAAUCGCUCUCUUGCUAGUGUUUGAAUCAAAGUUCAAGCAAUCCAUAUAAUAUUUUGAAUAAAGCCGUGUAUUCUCAUCCAAUGAUUCUCCAUAAAGUUGCUCCAGCUUUUGCAUUUUCUCUGCUUGAUCAGGCCUCAUGGAAAAGAUCAGGGACUCAUUAAAGAAUUGAUCGAAAUCUGCAGUAAAGGACAAAUCAGUGGAAUCAGGAAUCACUUCCAUCACAAUCCUGUGCCUUGCUUCUGAAUACCACCCAACAAUUGAACUCAUAUGUGGAAGAAACAGAGCUUUCCAGAGCUCUGGAGCAAAAUCAAUCCGUGAGAAGAAAGGAUCAACAAUAAACAUCUCGAGAAUGUGAAGAACUGAAUUGUGAACAUUGUCCCGCAGUCUCCACAGGUAAGAAAGGUUGAGAUGGGCCCAAGCAGAGAGGUAGAAAUUGGGGACUCCUGCAGUUCUCUGGUCAGAGUUCAACAUUGCACAUACUUGUAACAUUUUUUCUGCAUGGUCUAAUCGUGCAAGCUUAGUUUCCAUGUUGGAGGUAUUGAUAGCUUCUUCAAGGGCAUCAAUCCCCCAAUCCAAAUUUGCCAAUACUGCUUGAUCAGAGUAUCGAACUUCUGUGUCUUUCUCACAGCUUCCAUCUUCAGCUGCUAAUCUCUCUGCACACUGUUCUUUGUGUUGGGCUCUCUGUUCUUUAUUGAUCAACUGAUCUUGGAUGAAACUUCCAACCGUGGUGACCAGGAAUCUAACGAUAUCCUUUUGGUCCAUUGCAAACCUGUAGUUUCCAGCCAUCUUUGGGAAGACAAAGCCAAAAUAACAAAUUCUUAGUUAAUUUUCAAACUUCUGAUUUCUAACGCUAGUCAUCUAAUAUUCCCCACUUUCAAUUACAGGAAGUGGAAUAUUGGCUUACCAAGUAUGGUUUCUGGGGCAUAACUUUCGUCCAUAAUAUAUGAAUUUAUAGCUAAUUACUGGAUAAUUGAAUAUGCAUUUCUCAAACACAAACCAAAUUUAAUCCCAACUCAGUAUACUGAGUGGUGGACAGUCAAAUUAUUGAUUUGAUUCCAACUCAUAGUAGCCGACCACAACACAAAUAGUAACCAAAUUUCUCGAAGACGACUGUAAAUACAAUCCUCGCUUUCAGCAGACUGACAAAAGAAGUAUAGAAAAACGAUAUCCCAAAACUAAGCCAAAUACUCUCCCAAUUUUGAAAACCUCUACAUUCAGAAAUUUAAAAUUCUUUUAUUUUCCCACAUUUUCUCAGCAACCAAAUGGAGCAUGAGAGAAGAGGAUAAAAAUAAAACCCUAGCCUCUGCGUAGAAUAAACAACUCUGUGAGAAAACAUCAAGAAAGAAAACUGCAUAAUCACAUCAAUUCAAAAAGGGAAACAAAACAUUAAAUCAAUUCAAAUAAAAAUUUUAAAAUUCUUUUCAAGUAAAUAUCAAGAUUUUCUCAAACACCAAAGCCCUUGAAACCACAUCAAAACACAGAGACAUAGCAAAUCUAUAUGGUCAAAAAGCACAGAAACUGAGUGCAAGUCGCUGAGCAUUUUUAUCUUAAAAAAAAUAAACAGAUCCUUCAUCUUCCCUUGCAACACAGACGAGCAAAAGAUCAUAAAGACAGAAACAGACUGAAUCGCACAGUGACUGAAAGAGCGGAGAACGAUGCUUACUGUAAUCUCGUAAUGGGAGAUGGAUGAUCAAUCAGCCACCUACUCAUCAGUCUCUCCAGAAUACUCCAUUGAGAUUCAAAAUGGAGAGUGAACUCUCUUUUUGAAUUGAAUUGUAGAGAGAGAGGACGGCUUUUGGUUUUGGAUUGAAGGAGCAUGGCCGGCUUUGGAUGUUGCCAUGUCCAAGCAAACCGUGGACUGAAAAUAAAUUUUUUAAUACUCCCUCCCUCAUUUGAAUAAUCCAUUAAUAACGGAGGGAGGAGCAUUGCGCUUUUUUGGCCAAGUCUUCUCAAUUGUUUCAACUCCAAACAAAUCACAUCGGUUAAAAUUCAAAAAUGACCAAUUUUCCACCUUCCUUCGCCUUGCCUUCACUUUCAUUUGGCGGGAAGCAUACCCGUCAUUACUACAUCCCAUUGUUGGGCACCCCCUUCCUUAGUGUUUCUAUAUAUAUAUAUAUAUAUAUAUAUAUAUAUAUAUAUAUAUAUAUAUUAUGUAAUAAAUAAAUUCACGUACCUUUACCGGUAAAAUUGUUUUUUUUUUUUUUUUUUUAACAAAUUAAGGUGAUGUUUGUAGUAUUUUAUUUCUAUUAAGUAUUAAAAAGUAAAAAAAAAUUAAUAUAUUAUUUUUUCUAUUAAAAAACAACAACAUAUUUUAGUUUUUUAUACUUAAUAAAAAAUUUAUAAUAAAUUAUAAAAAAAAAUAGAAAAACAAACAACUUUAAUCCUGAAAACAAAUUACUUUCAGUAAAAAACCAAAAAAACAAAUACCACCUAAAUGUUUGAUAAACAAAUUAAUACUUUAAAAAAUAAUUUAAUAACUUACAUAAAUUAAUAUAUUUCAUAAAAUAACUUAAUAAUAUGACUUAAAAUAAAAAAUAAUUUUAAAUAAUAAAUAAAAUCAAUUAAAUUAUUUUUAACCUCAUAUUUUUAUUUUAUCUUUUUACUUUUAUUUAUCUUAAUUGCCUUUACGAUCUCCUUUGUUACUUUACUUAUAAUAAUAAUUAAGUAAUAAAUUUUAAAUUAAUAAUUUAAUUAUAAUUUAACUUAAAAUCAAUUUAAUUUCUUAAAUAAUAAAUAUUAAGUUUUACUUAAACCUCACGUUUUUUUUACCUCUUAAUUAUUUUAAUCAAAAUAUCUACGUUCCAUUUUGAGUAAAUAUAAAAGCAGCCGUCUAGUCAAAUCUAUGUAGCAGAUCUCACCACGCCAAGAUUAUAUAUAUAUAUAUAUAUCCACAGAGUCAUUCCUACUACCUCGAAAUUGUCCUUUUCUCUUUGUUCUUAAUGCUUAUUUAGGACAAAAUGUCGUUCUCAACUAAGAAUAUAUACGUAUUUUCUAGUAGCUAUGACAAAAUAACUUCAAGCUGCAUUUGAAUUUGUCAAAGUACCAUAGGAUUUCACCAAGAAUCAAGCUUCCAGCCUUCCACCCUCUAGUCUCUACACGCCACAGCAAUAGCACCUUUUCUUCAUCGUUGUCCACUACUAGUCUAGUUGUAAAAAUGAGGAAUCAUCGUAGUGGGCCUCGUAUUCAGGCUUAAGUUUUUAGCUGGGCCCAUAUUAUGCAAAGCCCAGUAUUGGGCCGUUUAAGUUUGGGCAGUGCAAAGGCCGUCCAUAUAGAGAGGAGAGGGAUAGCCGACGCAGGAGUUGCGGUGUGGGCCAUGAUAAUGGCCGAGUUAAAGGCGCCAUUAGCGUAAUGGCAGACCGCUGGAUAUCACUCAAUAUCGAAUUUGACGUCCAACAGUGAUAUAAAUUCGAAAGAAGCAGGAAGUUGCUUAAGAAUUUUAUGCAGGGCAAGUGUAUGUCUCAUGGAUGCGAUUUCUGUUUAGUUAUCGCAAAACAGUGUUCGAGAAUAAUCUUCUCGUAUUUCAUAACAGUAAAUAUAUUUUUUAAAUUAGGAGAAAAUUACUAUUAAUUGUUUUUAAGAAACAUGUCUUAUAUUUCUAUAAAUGCAUUUUUUUUAAUUUAAUAAAAUAUGAUAUUUUCAUUCUGACUUUAAAAUUUUAAUAUAAUUUAAUUUGACUUAAAGUUAAAUAAAAUUAAAUGUCAUUAAGUAAGUGUUUGAUAAAUCAAUUUAAUAAUUUAAAAUAAUAAAUAUUAAUUUUAUCAAAUAUCUCUUAAAUUUCUAAAUUAAUUUAUUUUUAUUGGUGUCUAAAUGUUAUUAAAUGUUAAGUUAUUUAUUUUUAUUCAUAUUUAAACGUGGAUUGUUGUUUUUACCUAUGUUAUAAUUAUUAUAUUGAUUUUUGAUUUUAAAAUUAUUAAUCCUAAAAUAAUAAUAAUUUAACAUAUUUUCAAAUAUCCUAAAAUAUCAAAAUUUAUUUUUAUGAUAAAAAAAAUGAUAAUCAUUAAUUUGUUAAGAUAUUAUAGGUUACCAAAUGAUAGUAAAAUCAGUUACUCUACUGAUUGAUUUUUAGAUUAAAUUCUUAAACUUGAUCUAAUAAGUGACAUCAUAAUAAGUCGGUAUUUCCUUGAAUUUGAGAUAGGUGGUAAUUUGUUUUACUUUUGUUGGAUUUAUUUUUUUUUAUUAAUUUCUUAUCCAAAUUAAAUUAUUUUAGGGGGUGUUUGGUAUGAUAACGGGUAAUGAGAAUAGACGUCUCAUUCCUUCCCACCUUCAUUCUCAUGUUUAACAAAUUUUAUGAAAGUAUAAAUAGUAUAAAAAAAAUUAUGGAAAAAGUGGAUUUUGAUUCACUAAUAUGAAAAUAUAGUUUAAAAAAAACUUCAACUUUUUUAAAUUAUUAUUGUCUUCAUUUAUUUAAAAUACAUGCAUUUUUUAAUAAGUCAUAUAAUUAUUCCCCAAAAUAUUAUUUUACUUAUCAUGUUAUCAAUAAAAAUUGACAACUAAACUCCUUCAAGUAAAUAUUUUUAUUCAUUUUAGAUAUGUUUAUUAUUAUUAUUAUUAUUAUUAUUAGUAAUCGUCUUAACUCCAUUUUUAAUCCAUAUGGAAUUAUGGAUGACCUGAUAUCUUGGUUUUUUAUUUUUAGUAACCAUGAGAAAAUGUGAACAUAGAAAAAGUGCAAACGCAAGACAGGAAUUGGAAACAAUUUGCACAAACUACUAAAGUGACAACAAAUUAUUAGAGUUAUAAACAAAAGGGGAAUGUUACAUAACAUGCUAAGACAAUUUUUUUUUUCUUUCUUUUCAAACAUUCUUGGCUACCAAUAAUCACAUCAAGAAUUUUACAUGAAAUUUUUUUAAAAACAACAAUAUAUUACCUUUUAUUCGUAUAUAAAUCUUUUGAAUUGAAGGUAAAGUUUAAAAACAAAUAAAAUGUUCAAAUAACUAGAAUCCUUGAAAUUAACCUCAACUUGCUAUAGUGGAAAAAAUUCUAAAGAGAUCAAUGAGAAAAACCAUAGACAUUAUUCUCAAUAAAACUUAAAUUCAUCUACAGUUUACCAAGAUUCACUACUUCUAAUGUCAACACUCUUCAAACUACCUCACUUUUGCUAUGUGAUGUUUGUUUAUGAAAAAAAAAGUUUCAAAUAAUAAUAAUAAAACAUAUCUAAAAUGAAGAAAAAUAUUUAAGUAUCUAAAAUUUGUCAAUUGGUGUCGAUGACAUUAUAAUUUAUAAGUAAAAUGGGCAUUUUAGGAAAUAAUUAUUUGACUUAUUAAAUAAUGUAUUUCAAAUUAUUUUUAAAUAGAUGAAAAUAACAAUAAUUUAAAAAACUUGGGGUUAUUUUUUUUCAUAUAUUUUCAUAUUAGUGAAUCAAAAUUCAUUUUUCCCACAAAUUAUGCCGAUAUAAAUCAAAUCACACUUAUGAGUAGCACUUCAAUUUUUCGCAAGUUGGUGAUAUUUUGUUUCAUAAGAAAAUAUAAAAUAAUAUAAAAUGACUAUUUUACCCUUCGAUUUUAUUCAUUGGAUGUCUCAUCAUCUCAUAACAAGUCCAUUUUUUUAAUCUUAUUAUUUAGUAACAAAAAACCUUUCAAAGUUUAUUUUUUAAAAUGAAAAAAAAAAACUAUGUGUAAGAGUAUUAUUGUCAAUUUAUUUAUUUUCCAUUAUCAUUCUUAUUAUUACCAAAUAUUAAAAUAAAAACAAAUAAUCAUUCUUAUCUUGAAUUCUUUAAUUAAAAUACUAAAAAUAAAAAAAACAUACUUUAAUCAUAUUCAAUUAUAAAAAUGAUAAAUUAAAAACCAAAAGUUCUAAAAGUAUCUUAAACCAUAACUCAUAAAAUAAGUGGCUAAAAAUAUUUAUAAAUUUAAAAAAAAUAUAAAAAAAAAAAUGUAAAGACUACAAAUAUAAAAAUAAAUGUAAAGACUACAAAUAUAAAAAUAAAGGGAUAAUUUAAAAUAAAAUAAAACAUUUUAGAAAAUAAAUUUAGAUACGUGGACCGUCAGAUACAGCUAACUCGAAUCAAUCAGGUCAACAGUAGCAUCCAAUGAAAUCAUUAGCACAACUGUAACAUCUAAAAUCAUAAAUAAAUUAGAGCACAUAACAUGGAUCCGUCGAAUGGUUUUAAAAAUGAAAAAUAAAGGGAAACGAUCACCUCACAUGAAAAUCUUUCUUAUCUAAUAAUCUAAUAUUCAUUAUUAAAAUAUUUAAUUUUCUUAUUUCUUGAUAUUUAAACAUUACAUAAACUCAAUUAAAUAUCAAUGACAAUCAACUAAAAAAACAAAAUUAAUAAGAAGAUAAAAAUAAAUCAAAAUACUAAAAUAGUAUAAGAUAUUAGUUUCACUUUAUAUUUCAACGUUUCAUUAUUAAUAUAUAAAAAUAAGCUAGGAGUGGAAAAAUAGAUAUAAAAAUAAAAAUAAAAAUAAAUAAAAAUAGUAAAAAAUAUUAUAUAUUAAUAUCAUAAAUAAUAGUAUCUGAGUUAUAAGUCAAAUUGAUUUAUGGUCGAGAAUUGAAUGGUAUAAAGUCUAAUAAAGGAUAACACAACUUUGAAAAUAGUAUAAGAUAUUAGUUUCGUUUUUUAUUUCAUCGUUACAUUAAUAAUAUAUGAAAAUAUAUUAAGUCAAGUGAAAUAAAAAGAUGUAAAAGUAAAAAUAAAAAUAAAUAAAAAUAGUAAAAAAUAUUAUACAAUAAUAUCAUAAAUAAUAAUAUAUGAGUUAUAAUUCAAAUUAAUUCAUGAUCGAGAAUUGAAUGAUAUAAAGUCUAAUUAAGUACAACACAAUUUUGAAAAACAUUUUAUAACAAUAGUUUUCAUUUAUUGCAUUUACAUUGAAAAAAUAAUGAAAAUAAUUAAAUUAUAUUUAUUAAUUAUUUUUUUCGUACCAAAAAAUUUAUAUUUAUUUAACUAUAAAAAAAUAGUUUUCAUUAUUAUUAUUUUUUUCUUCCCAUAAUACCUUUUAACAGCCGAACAUAAGUGGUGGGCUAGAUAAUUAGAGAAGAACAUCAUAAAGGGUGAAACCAUUAAUUUAAUUCAAAUGAAAUGUGAGGCCCUGAGGGCCUAAGGCCCAGAUGAUUCUAUUAAUUUGGUCGUUUUAUUUUAAUAAUAAUAUAAGUUGUAUAACAAGAUUUCAAAUUGUAUAAGAAAUACGAUACGAGACUUUAGAGGAUAGAACCCCGUUGAUAUAUAUUGUUGUCGCUUUCCUCCACGUGGAUUGUGGAACUCGAAUUAUGUCGCUUUUGUUAACCAUGGUUAACACCUGGAGUACGUCUAACCACACCUUGAAGUAGAUCGUGACGCGUGUCAGAUAUCAACGGCCAAGAUCCAAAGCAAGAAGAUAUUCGAGAAGCAAUGACUCUAUUUAUCACCGCGUCCCACGCCUAACCCUAACGUCAGUCCUGAGUCGUCCUUAUCCUUGACGUGAAUUCACUGAGUCUGCGAUGGCAAACCCUAAGGUCUUCUUUGACAUGUCCGUCGGCGGUGUGCCUGCCGGUCGGAUCGUGAUGGAGCUUUUCGCCGACACCACUCCCCGCACUGCUGAAAACUUCCGAGCACUCUGCACCGGCGAGAAGGGAACCGGCCGCAGCGGAAAGCCUCUGCACUACAAGGGAUCUAAGUUCCACCGGGUCAUCCCCGGGUUCAUGUGCCAGGGAGGCGAUUUCACCGCCGGAAACGGUACUGGUGGCGAAUCGAUCUAUGGAUCUAAGUUCGCCGACGAGAACUUCAUCCACAAGCACACUGGCCCGGGAAUACUAUCCAUGGCAAACGCUGGUCCCGGAACCAAUGGAUCACAGUUUUUCAUCUGUACAGCCAAGACCUCGUGGCUUGAUGGUAAGCACGUGGUGUUUGGGAAGGUGAUUGAAGGGCUGGAUGUGGUGAAAGCCAUUGAGAAGGUCGGAUCUUCGUCUGGAUCCACCGCCAAGGCUGUUGUGGUCAGUGACUGCGGGCAGCUUAGUUGAAUGACUCCUGUGAUCUAUGAGCCUCGAUCUUUACUUUGUCAUGUUAGGGUUUGGUGCUUUUUAUCUUUUUUUUUUUCAUCUUUUCUUGAAGGGUAUGCAGUGAUUUCGGAUCGCUUGUUCCGUGAAGAGAGGGAAGGAGAGGCUUUAUUUGAAUAAGCUAGGUUUUGUUACCUACCUACCGUCUUGUUAUGCUAUGAUAUGAACCUUCUAUCACUCUAAAAAGUGUUUUUAUCCUCUGUUUGGCUGUCGGUGAAAACGAAGGAAAUCACAUUCCUUUUUAAGACGAGCUCCAUUUUCACUCACUAGCAUGUCUUUCCUCUCAAACUUUUGCCUGGAUCCAAAUCAUAUGCCACCAAUCUCAAACGUUGACAUUAGAAGACAGUAUACAAUUUAGCAAUAUACAUGUAUCACUAGACACAUGACAAUAUGGAGAUCCAUAAAGUAAAAUUAGCGGAAUCUGAUUUAUAUAUGGGAAAGAUGUUCAACUCGUUGGAUGAAGACAAAACAACGAAAAUUUUCGGUACUUCCUAAAAAGGGAUAAUCGCCGAUACAUUGGACUUGGAGGGUUUUUUAUAUUUUUAUAACAAAAACAGGAAAAUGAAAUUAGUGAAUUAGCCUAUUGGUUGAUAAAAUACGUUCUGGAAACGAUAUUAUGUUAUUUUAUCGAGGACGGAAAAAUGAUCGGAAAAACUACCUGGGCGGUUUCAAACUGCAAUUUUUCAUCAUCUAAAAAAAAAUAAAAGAGCAGAUAUUUCAUGGAUAAGAAUGAAAAUGUUUUCCGAGUUUGUUUGGUAGAAUAAAUAAAUUGGUGUUAAUAAAAAAUCGAUAAUGAGAAGUUUUCUUCAUCUAUUUUACAAAAAAUAAAACAUUAAAAUAAUCAGUCUAUAAAGUUGAAAAAAAUUCAUUUUCUUUAUCCUAUUUAUCAAAUGUUUUGGCAAUUCCUGUUGGGAAGAUGAAUAAAAAAAAAAAAAUUGGGACAAUUGUGUUUUGGAUCAAGACCCAAAAAUUAAGUUUUGAUCUAUAUAAGUUCAUCAUUUAAGCCUAAGACUCAAAUGGAGUAUGAAAAUUAAGAAAAAUGAUAUGAAUUUUUUAUAUUUUCGAAAAUAACCUUUUCUUAUAAUAAAAAAAAAUUAAUUUAAAUUUUAUUCAUUUUGUAAAUCUCAAUAAAAUUCAAUAUAAUUUGGUAAUUUGGAAAAACAUGCUCACUUUUCCAAAAAAAUAAAAAUAAAUUAUUAUUUAAAAAUCAAACUUAUUAGAAUGUAUAUAUUUUAAAAAUUGUGUAUAUAAAAAAUAAAUUAAAAUAUGCCUUUUUUUUAAUGAUAUAUUUUUAGAAUAUAUUUUAAAAAAAUCAAUUUUUUAAAAAUAAUAAAUUUUUUGAAUAAUUAUUAAAAAAUAUUUAAGAUCAAACAGUUUAUCAAAUAUUAUGGUAAGAAAAUAGUUUUAAAUGAUAUCUUGAUCUCUUUAUAUUUUAUAUCCUUCUUGUCAAUUAUAUAAUUUAUAUGAAUCAAAAUUUAAUUUUUAGAUCCAACUAGGUUCAAAACACAAUAAUCCUAAAAAAAAUUCGAAUAAAAAAUUUGAAUAAGAGCUUUGAAUUUUUGUUCAUCCCCUAUUAAUAUCUCGAGUUUAUAGUGAUAACUUGGUAUGUUCACUGUGAACUAAAAUAUGUCUAUGAUCAACUAAUUGACGGGCUCAAUGAAUAGUCAAAGCCAUACAUGUUUCAAGGAAUUGGACUAGAACUUAACAUGUUGCCCUUUUGGCUUUUCAGGCAAUACAAACAUGGUUAAUUAAUUGACGUUCCGUAAGAUUGGUGUUUUGUAAGACCAUAGUGAAAACACCAUUUUUGUUUUUCUUCGCCAUUUUUUUCUUCCACAUAAAAAUUUACUUUUCCAAAUAAUAUCCAUAGUCAAUGUUUAUUAAUUUAAAAAGCCAAUCUUAAACUAAAAAAUAAAGUCAAUUAUCUUUUGAAAUUCAUAAAUCAAAACUAAUCUAGAAUCAAUGCUUAAAUUUUGGAGUUUAUUAAGGAGUUUAUAAAUUUUAAAAAUAAUUUAAAAUUUAAAAAAGAUCAAAUAGAAGAUUUAUGACUUUAGUUUAUUUAUCCUAGUAGUUUUUUAUUAUUAGGAUUUGUCCACAUAUUUUAAAGAACUAUAAAGAUAAUUGAAUAAUCUAUUUGAUCUUUAAAUAUAAUUUAAGGUUGACAUUAUUUUAAAAAGAUAUAAAAUAAAAUAAAAUAAAGAAAAGUGUGAAAGGUAUAGAAAUAAUUUUUAUAAUUUAUUCUUUUAUUUUUAGAUUAUUUAAUUAAAAAGGUUAUUGAAAAUCUAAAUUUAAAAAUAGAUAAUUUUUUUUAAAUAAAAAUAAUAUUUUAUUUUAAUAAAAAAUGUUUAUGUUAAUAAUGAAAUAGACUACAUUUAUAAAUUUAAAAAUUAUUUCAUCCUUUUAAUCAAUUAAUUUUUAUUUUUUAAAAAUUUUCGGCCAUCAAAUCAUAUAUUCAUAUCAUAAGAAGGAAUUUUAUUUGCCUCGUUUAGGGGUAACCAAAGUAUCUUGGAAAGUUUUGUCUCGUCAAAUAAUAACCAGAGGGACGUUGAUGGAUGCAAAACCGCCCUUGAAAAUUGACAGAAACAAUGGCGGUCCAAAGUUAUCUAAAUGUGCCGACCACUUUUUGUUUUUAUUUUUUUGUGCCUUUUGCAAUCACCAGAGAAUAGUCUGCCUGCUCUUUCAUUUUCCUCGACAGCUUCGACCCAUUGUUCAAAACUAUCUCAAAUUCCUUUUUUUAGCCGAUUUGUGAUUUUCCCAAGUAUAAGAUCGUGAAAUUUCUUAUAAAUAUAUAGAUAUAUUUAAUAAUUAUAUAAUUUAUUUAUUUUUAUAUGAAAUAUUUUAUAUAGGAAGGGAUGUUGAGUGAAAGAGAACAUCUUUUUUUUAGCAUAAUCACAGCGGGAGAUUUGAAAGCAACGUAAUGUUUUAAACAAUAAUCAAGAUUUGUCUUAUUUUCUUAAUACAUGUUUUAUUAAUUAAUAUAUGCUUUAUGCUAUUUCUAUUAUUUUUCUUCUCGUGGAAGGCCUACAGGAAAUGGAAUGCUUUAUAGCAUGUUGCUUGUCAUGAAAACAACUAUUUUUUUAAAUAUUUUUAAAUGUAUUUUGAAAAUAAAUUUUUUAUAUUUAAUUAUUUUCCAUAUUUAUAUAAUUAUUUAUUAAAAUCAUUCUAAAAAAUAAAAAUAAUUAAAAAAUAUUAUCGAUAAAUCUCAUUUUUUUAAUAGAAAAUGGUUUUAUAUUAUUAAAAAAACGAAAGAUGUUUGAAAAUAAAAAAUAAAAAAUAGUUUUAUAUUAUUCAAAAUAAAAAAUAUGAUAUUUUUAGAUGAUAUAAAAAUUAAUCAUUAAAAAAUGAUUAAAAAUAAAGAAUAAAAAUUAUUUUUAAAAUAUAUUUAAAAUUAUAAAAAGUAAAAGAAGAAUAUUUUAAAUUAUGAUACAAUUUUUUUUUUAAAACGGUUUUUUAAAGUAUUUUCUAAAUAAAGUUUAAUUGUUUUAUUUUCAAUCAUUAUUGUAAAAUUAAUAUUUAAAACAACAUUAGAAAUAAUUAAAAUAUAUUUUAAAAAUUCCUAUUUUUUUUUUUAUGAAAAUAAUUAACAACCAAACUCAGCCGGAUCCUCCGCGAAGGAGCACAAACUGGAAAAAUAGAAGUAAAAGACAAAAUGAGGGCCGUAAGAUUAAGGGAGGGCAACGUGAAUUGCGGCUAGGAUGAAGUCAGGCAUCGCAUUGGGAGUCAACGAAACACAUCUGCUAAGCUGCACCGAAUAUGUGGUGCCACUGUACUACUGAAGACUGUGUGAAUGCCCCCAAAGAUCAAUAGAUGCUCCAUGCUUGGCCGGCUUCAUUGGCGCCCAUUUCGUAGUCGAACGUUGAAAUAUCUUUAAGUAUCGACCACCUCCACCCAAUCCCCAUCUUACACGUUCCUACCUUCACGACCCUACAUCAACUACUUUCUGAUAAACUCGUAGACUUUUUUUUUUUUUUCUUUAAAUAAAUAAAUAAAUAAAUUCUAUUUGGUUUUGCCUAUGACCUUUUCAAUUCAAAAUUACGUAACAAAGCAGUUCUCAUCUACACGAGCCCUGACAAGUCUGCAGUCUGACCUUACGUAAAUGCUCCUUCCUAGAAAUUACUAUAAUGCCCCUUAUCCUUCCUCGCACCCUACCUGCUUUCCCAUCUCAGCUUUUGAACAAUUCCAUUCUUUGAUCUAAAUUUAAGGAUGACUUAAUUUAUCUUGUAGGUGGCUCACCGGUGGAGGAUGAGGACUCAUUAAAGAAAAGUAAACCGGUUGACCAUUCAAAACGUAUUACUCGGGGAACAUUCGACUAAGCAAAAGUUGGGCAAUUUUCCUAAACAAGAACAUGAAUUUUAAAAGCUGCCGUCACCUAAUUUGAUAAAUAAGUUCCAUUCAACCUUUAAGUCAAGUAAUAAGAGCUUUUUUUAAUUUUUUUUAUACAUUCUACUCGACUGAGCAAAAGUUGGGCAAUUUUCCUAAACAAGAAAAUGAAUUUUAAAAGCUGCCGCCACCUAAUUUGAUAAAUAAGUUCCAUUCAACCUUUAAGUCAAGUAAUAAGAGCUUUUUUUAAAUUAUUUUUAUAUGGCUUAUUUUUUAAAUCAACUAUGAUUGGAAAGAGCUUUUUAAUAUAAAAUCAACUAUUAUUAGAAACAUAUUUAAGCACUUAAAAAUUAAAAAUUAAGUCAACUUGACCAUAAAGAUAAAAAUUGAUUUUCUAGAUGUUGCAUCUUAGAUGAUUCAAAUAAAGGAUGAACUUAUAAAAAAUUUAUAAAAUAUGUUGGUAGAAUUUUAAGAAAAUAUAUAAAAAUUUUAAAAAUUAGAACCUCUCAAUUAAAUUAUUGAUUUUAUUGAAAUAUAUUUUAUUAUAUUUAAAUGAAAAUUAAAUUGUUUAAAUAUUAAAAAUAAUAUUUUAUAUAAAAUAUUUCAUUUGAAAAUUUGUUUUAAAGUGAUAAUGUUUUUGUUAAUAGUUUUGCUGUUAGUUUAUUAUUAUUAUUUUAUUUUUAGUUGUUUAUCAAUAACAAUUAAAAAGAUAAUUUAAUAAGUAGGAUACAAAAUAUAAAAAUGAAUUAUUGAUUUUUUUUUAAAAAAUUUAAAAAUAAAAUAAAAUUGAUGAGUAUGAUUUUUUUUUCAAUAAAUAAUAAAUAAUAAAAAUUUAAAAGUAAAUCAUUUAAAGUUUAAAAGUAAAUUAUAUUUAUAUUAAAAACAAACAUAAGCAAAAAUCAUUAAUUUUCGCAACAAUGGGCAGAUCGACUCACCCAGGGUCUCGUUUCCACCUCCGUCGACAUCUGAAAAUUCGCCCGAAAUUUCAAUUGAGAAUUGUGGAAACUUCCGUCCUGGAUUGAAUGUGCAAAGAAAUGUAAGCAUGUAAUUGAUGGGCACUCCGUAUUAGUGUAAUAUAGAAAAUUGACUUUCGGGGAGUAGAGGCCCGCCUUAAAGGAUUAAAUAAUGUUAAUCUUUACUAAUUGAAAAUGAUUUUUCUGGAAACCGGAGAAGGGCAAUAAUGUAAAACGGUCAUUCUAAGUCUGACAAAUUAACGUCACACACCAAACUUCAGACGGCGGGCGGGACACCCGCUCUCUUUCUCUCUCUUACAAAGUCUAAACUCACACACAAGAGACAGAAUACAUCAAAAACGGUCAUCGUCUCUGCUCCCUGUUUGGCUCCUUCCAUUAAACUCAGUCAAAUCCUUCUGCUUGCACACGGGAUUUUCGUGUUUCAAAUAACGCGUUUUUUCCCCCUGCUUUUCUUCUCUAGACUAGAUUUUUCUAUUUGGAUCAACACAUUCUCCAAUCGAUCUCAUUCUUGACUCAUCCUCAUUCUCGUCGUCUCUCACAUUCUAUUUCACUGUAAUUAAUCCGAUUCUUUUCUUCCUCUUUCUAGGGUUUCAUCUGAAUUCGAUUUGGUGUCUGGUAUGCUCUGAGCUCUGUCUUCGUAAUUAGGGGAUCAUCUAAUCACAAAUGGUUUGUAUUAUCUAAGGGUUUGGAUGCUGGGAAAAUGGAGGAAAACAAAAAGAAACUUCCAGUCUCAUGGUCCUUGUUCUUAUGGUUUGCCAACCGAGAACUCGGCUAAGCCAAAUAGUUGUAUUGUGCUGAGUUGAGUGGAGUUACUUUUUUAUCGUCUUCUUGUUGUUUUGGUUUUAUAGAACCGAAAAUAUGAAGAAUAUAUAUAUAUAUAUAUAUAAAUCUUGAAUUCUUGUGCUACAGUUUCUUGGUAACCAAAUGAAUCCUAAGUUGACAAUGUUUUUCUUGAUUUUCCUGUUAGGUGCGAAUUCGGAAAUUUUUUGGAAUAUCAUUGGAAGAAAAAUGGGAGCGGUAUGCUCAGGCGGGAUGAUGAAGCGAAAUUCGGGAAAAAAUUUAGGGUUUUCUGGGAAGCUGAAGAAAGUGAAGAGUUUGCGUAAGCAAAAAGAGGAUUCUUAUUCAUAUUCUAAUCCUAAUGUGGAUGGUUUUGAGAGGACGCCACAGAUGUACGAUCCUGGAGAGCUAUCGUUUUCGAUUUCACGAGAACUAAAACCUUCAACGCCUGCAAGAACAGGGGCAAGCAAGGUAUGAUCUACUCAACAUGUGUUAGUUUUUUGUUGUAAUUCUUAGUGAUUAAUAGAAUUAACUGUCGCAACUGAUCUUCAGAAACGAAGGAAAUAGGAUAGAAGUCGAAUCCAUCCGCAUAAUAUUAAACUGCAUAUAAAGUUUGUGUUGUAACAAUUAUUAGUUUAAUUUCCCUUUUGCAAUUUUAGCACACAAGAAAGAGAAGAGAAGGUCAGGGUUCACAUGUGUGUGUUGAUGUUCGUAAGCAGUGCAUGACUAACAUAUGAAUCGAGGAAUAAAAUGAAGAACCCUGCUGUUAAGGAGAGAAGGAAAAAAUCAUGGUUUAUGUCCCAAUGAAUAAUGGUAGAAAGAUGCUAGGAGAGUCAAAUACAUGUCUGAAGACAGUUUUUGGGCAUUUGGCAACUUGGUAGAUGAACCCCAAAGUAGUACGAUGUGCUUUAUAGCAUGGAUAGAACUGAUACUUAUUACAGUGGAAUGAAUGGACAAAAUGGCAUACAAGCAGUUCUUUUUAAAUCAGGGGUGAUACUGUACCCCCUAUUAUAAUUUGAUCAAUGGAUUAAUUUUCUGAGCGAUGCUUGUUGCAUCAGUGCAUGAUGCAUUUUGAUGAUAAUUCAAGUUUCCCCUCUCAUUGACAUCAUUUUAUCUCCACAACCAUGGUGAUGUCUCUCUUUCCCGCCAAAUCUUGCCAGAGUCGGUGGAGGAUUCUACAUAGCAGGGCUGACGGUCAUUACUUUCUUUCUUUCUUUUAUUUAUUUAUUUUUUAUUUUUAGAUAGGCAAAUAUAGAUAUAUGAAUCAGAACCAAGUAAAAAAAUCAGGGCUGACAAUGAUUCCUUUGGUGGUUGAAACGUUGGACCAUAAGCUGGUGUGUAUUGCUGAUUCUCUUUCCUAGAAUUUGAAAGGAGAGGUGGCUUUUCCUGCACAUACAAGAGAGAAGAAUUCUAUUCAGACAGGGGGCAAAAAUCAUGAUCUAUUUAUCUCACAUGAUUUGCGAUGGAUGAGCUUACAUUAUUAGGGACACUGGAUCACUAUUACUGAAUUCAAAUUCAUCUAAAGCUUGCACAUGCAUAUUGUGAGAUGUAUCUAUAGACUCAGUAAUCUGAGACAACCAUGCAAUAGUAAACCCACUUGUUAAGCAGCAUGAACUGCAUAUCAUUCAUUAAGGAGAAACUAUGACAAAAUUCAGUUGUGAUUUUUUCUUCACAGAAAAAUGUGUUUUGUUGUGGGCAGCUCAAGGUUUUAAUAAAAUGUUUAUACCUAUAAAUAUAUAUCCAGGUUAAAUGCUAUCAUGUUCCUUAGCUUAGUGUGGGGAUUCAGUUCUUUUGGCUAUCCAUUGAGACUAUCUAUUUGUCUAGGAGGUAAAUAAGUAGUUGAAUAAGUGAAGUUUAUAUAUAUAUAUAUAUAUAUAUAUAUAUAUAUAUAUAUAUAUAUAUAUAUAACCCUUCGUAGGCUAUGAUAUUUUGGCUUAACCACUUUCCUCUUUUCCUAUGAAUUCAAUUAUAUCAUUUGUUUCUUUGUUUUUUAGGUGCCCCAGAAGACCUCAUUUCUGGGAAGGGCUGGUGUUGUGGGCCUAGAGAAGGCAGUGGAAGUCUUGGAUACACUGGGAAGUAGCAUGUCAAGUUUGAAUCCCCACAGUGGGUUUGUAUCUGGCAUUGCUUCCAGAGGAAAUAAAAUAUCUAUAUUGGCAUUUGAAGUAGCUAAUACAAUAGCCAAAGGUGCAAACCUACAGCAUUCUCUUUCUGAAGAGAAUAUCCAGUUUCUGAAAAAGGAGAUUUUACAUUCAGAAGGAGUGCAACAAUUAGUUUCCACAGAUAUGACAGAGUUGCUAAGUAUUGCUGCUGCUGACAAAAGGUUGUUGCUUGUUAGAGAGAAUAGUUUGCUUUGCUUUGUCUUUUGUGCCUAGUGCAAUAUGAAUUAAUUGUAGCAUUUUUCAUCUUUUAAUAUCUCACUUGUUUCUUUUAUUAUUAUUUGGUUUAUUUGUAGAGAGGAAUUUGAUGUUUUCUCACGGGAAGUAAUUAGAUUUGGAGAUUUAUGUAAGGAUCCACAAUGGCACAACCUGGAUCGAUAUUUUUCAAAGUGAGUAGAUACUUAUAGUGCAUUCAAGUUAAGUUACUGAUGUGCUGACAAUGCAAACAGAUUUAUUGAAUGAUUAUAAAAUUUCAGGUUAGAUACAGAUGAUCCCAGCCAUAAACAACUUAGAGAAGAGAUAGAAGUGACAGUUCAAGAGUUAACUACUUUGGCUCAGCAUACUUCUGUAAGUUUAGUUUUGUAUUGGUAAUAUUUUUUUGCAUUUCUUGUUAUGUGUGCUACAUAUGGUAUUAUUAAUAUUUUGGGAAAUGAUACUUCAUUUGUUUGGAAGGAAAUCAUAUUAAAUUUUGGUUUAAAAAAGCACAGUUGAUUUCUUUCUGAAAUGAUAUUCGUUCUAUAUCAUGUCUAUUUUAUGUGCCUGAUUCAUUUGAAUGAACUUGUGUGAUUGAAAAAAUACUUUGAUCAUUAGAUUCAAAGUUUGAUUAUGUUAUUGUGGUCACUGAAUAGUUUAAAGAUUUAGAUUCUAUGAUCAUCGAUCAACUUAUGGGAUUAUUCCAAGCCCAUGUGGUAUUUAGUUAUCUCCACCUCUAAUUUUGAGCACUUGACUAUAUCCUAAAUUUUGAUCCCUUUUUUUCUUUGUAAAAUUCUUUGUCCCUCUUUGCCUUCAUUUGGUUUUACCAUCUUACCCUUCUUGUAGAUAAGAUAUGGGCACUUCUGAGCCUGGCUGGAUAUUGAUCUCAGGUCCAGAUGCUUUCUUUCACUUUUUGCUAUAUCACUUCUGCCUCUUUAGUUUGGGUUAUUAGGCUAUUGUUGACAUGAAAGGCAUAUCCACCAUAUGUCUAGCACUGGUUUCAACACUUAUAAGCCUCUAUAUCUCCUGACAAUCUGACUCAGAUUUUGUGAAUCUUAUCUGUGUGAUAUGAGAAUUAAAAAUAAGCUUAUUAUUAUCUUUCUAGAUUUAUAAAUAAUGGUCAAUAAAUAUUUUUUGCAUUAUGGCAAUGUGUUUUGAGUUGAAUAAUAGAGGCCUUGCUAUGCUUCUGUUGCAUAGUCUUUUCCAUGUAAAUACAGUUGUUAUGGUUAUUUAAUGUAAGUCUUCCCUGUUAAUAUGUUUAUGGUAUCGAACAUGCAGGUACAUGAAUGGAUUUUGUAGACACAUUCACAAACUCAAGCAAACAUAGCACUGUUUCAUAUCGGUCUUUGUUUUAGGCAAUUGAUUUGUCCUGCACUCCAUCUCUGUGUGUGCAUGUCUCUAAGGCUUUAUUUGAUUGUGUAUUCACCUUCUUUCUUCCAUAGGGGAAAGCUGACCCGUGUUUAUUUUGCUUUUGAAAUGACUUUAAUUCCACAUGUGCUAACCAAAUGUAUAUAAAAGUGUAAUUUGGUGGGAUAAUCUUUUAGUUUUUUGCUUCCCUGGAUGAUUUUUUAUUUUUUAUUUUUGGGUUUCUUGAUUUAAUAGAAUCAUGGAAUGAUGAUUUGAAUUAGAUGCAUUCCCAAAAUUUUUGCUCUUCUGCAGAGAACCUGUUAUUCUGUUUUUUUAUAAGUAUACUUGACUAAUGCUGCAAGGUUCAUUUUGCCUUCAUCUCUUAUGCCUUAGUAAGGGUUAGUUAUGUUCUACUUUGAGAUGCUAAUUCCUUCUGCAUUUAUAGGAAUUAUAUCAUGAGCUGAAUGCUGUAGACCGAUUUGAACAAGAUUAUCGACGGAAGCUUGAGGAAGUGGAGUCCUUGCAUCUUCCUCGUAGAGGUUAGACAUGGAUGAUCUUUUUCUCCUAUUUUAGUUUUAUUAGAUGUGUAAGUAGGAUUUUCUUUAUUUCCUUUUCUUUGUUCCUUUUGGGAAGGGUAUUGGGUUAAGUUUGUCUCAACUUUUAUUUUUACUUCUUAACUUUUCACCUCUAAAUGCAUAUGCUGUUUAGUAUGUUAUCUAGAUAUUGAGUCUCUUCUCUUAGCUAUUUAAAGGGGAUCUUGUAUAUGACUAGGUUUACGUAUCCCCUGAAAAUAAGAAGGAAGAAAAAUAAUUGCUAUAUAAUUUAUUAUUGCUUGUUGAUUUAAAGGUUGGCUAAUUAUUUGUAGAAGUUGUUAUGGCGUGCAAUCUGAUUUAUGAAUAGAGGGUUAGGACUGAAAGAUUUAGUUUUAGAUUGCAAAAAGGAUACCUGGCUAAGCAUAACAAUUGCUAGAGAAAAUUAAGAUAAUAUGAAUAUGUUGGAAUAAUGAUAUACAUUGUGGGCCCAAAUUCUAACAACUUAAGUUUUUAGGAAAAUUGGUUGUCCAACAUUGGUAUCAAAGCCAUGUUUGCUUCUUCUUUCUUUCUUUUUUUUUUUCUUCAGGUUUAGAGGGCGUUUGUUUUUUUUUGCUUUUUGUUGAAAGCAAUUUGCUUUUAGACUUUGAGUUGUUUGUUUUUUUUACUUUUUCAUGACUUAUUAUAAACUUUUUGCUGAAUAGAAAAAACCAAAACAUUUGACUUUUUUUAAAUGGAAAAAGUAACAUAUUGGUUUUUUUUUACUUUUUAAUGUUUAAUAGAAAUAAAAUAUUUAAAAAAAAAACAACCUAAUACUUAACACUAUUAAAUAUUAAAGUUCUAUUUAGAAUUAAGUAAAAAAAACAAAUACCACCUUAGUCUUUUUGACCUUAGUUGCCAAAAUCUUGCUUAUUCCUUGGUUGGCCUUCACUGUUGAAGCCCUUGAAAAUCUAGUUUUUCCCUUCCUUUAUUUUUCAUCUUGAAAAUCCAGUUUUUUCAUUCUUUAAUUUUUUUUCCCUUAUUUAGCCUUCAACCUUUUUUUUUUCUCUCCCCAACCUUGUUUGAGGCAUCGUUUGAAAAAUGUUUGAAGUCUCUCAAACUGAUCCCUCAGAAAAAAGACCCAUAUCAGUGAAUGGUGCUGAAAAUUCGAUUACAAUGUCUUGGUUGCAGAAUUCUAUGUAGCCAUGGAGUGGUAAAACUCAUCAUUUUUUCUCACCAACAAUAAAGAUAUGGGAUGCUAUUGCUUAGAUACAUUUCAGCAUGGUGUCACAACCUUAUUUAGCAGGAGUUCAUGAGUUUGAACUUCACAUGUUUAUUUCCCCAAUUUAUUGAGCCACAUACAAGCCCAAAGGAGGCUGUCCUUGAUUUGUUUUGCCUAUGGGUUUGAUUGUCUCUCUACAUGUGGGUAUGAGGCUGGGGAGGGUGUUGGAGAACAUGGUAUACAUUGUGGGUCCAAAUCUUAAUAACUUUAAGCUUUUAGGAAAAUUGGUUCUUUAACACAAUACCCCUUGUUAGAUGAGUAUCUUGGUAUAUUCAUUCUUAAAUUGGAGUUUUUCUUUCAAGGGGGAAUUUGUGUUGAAAUAGCUAUUACUUGGUGAGAUUGCUUGGCAAGGAAACUAGCCCAGGAAUGCUUUCUUUGCCAUAAGUUGGACUGUUGUUGGUGUGCGUUGCAUUAGAUGAUUAAAUGAAACAUAAUCCAUUCAAUAGUUUGGAGGUUAUAAUAGACAAUAUUGCUGAAUUUCAUUUGAAGAGAAAUAUUAUUGUAGGGGAUUCACAGAAGGAUAAUUGUCAGAGCAACUGCACUUUUCAUGUUUGAAGUUUUAAGAUGGCAUAAUGGGAAUGUUGGGUGCCAUGUGAAAUGCAACUUUGUACUAUAGCUUCUAAUUUUGGAGGUGUGUAUUUGUCUUGCCUGUAAAUUGAGAUGCCUCUAUAUUGAGAAGCUUGAUAUUUCAUUGCUAGUUGCCACAGUAAUGAUUAUAUGAUAUUCUACUACGAACUAUUUAUCAAUAUAAAACUGACCAUUCCUUGAGUUCUUUCUAAAGUUCUAUUUUUGGGAUGGCAAUGGGGUAGUUUAAUGGGGCAUUCGCUGUACCACAAUUGGUUCAGAUUUGGGAUUGCUACAAUUCAUUUUGGAACAUAUUUAGGUUGGGAUUUCAAAUAUAAACUGAGGUUUAGUCCUCCAUGUAUAUUCCAUGUUGAUCCAUUGUGGACCUUGUUGUCUUUCUGAAUUAACCUCCCCUGUUUUUUGCAUGUUGACCAAAUUCAAAUGAUGUGUAUUUGAUUUUCCUGCAUUCCUGAAUAGUUGCUUCUGAUCAUUGUCCAUUGCAUCAAAGGUAAAAUAAAAAAAAAUCAGAGGUGCAAGAUUACUGGAACAUCACAUUCUGGUUAAUGGGUGCACUUGUAUUCUCCCUUGCUCUCUAUGCAAACACAUGCUUCCUUCUUUCUCUUUCGAGUAUUCUUCUCUCAUAUGCAAACUUUUAGAUGUAUAUUGAAGAGUCAAUGUUUUGGUCCUCAAUGUGGAUUAAUGAGGGUAUUUACGACAAUUGCAGUUCAACUAAUUCAAACUUAUUUUCAUGUCAUGAUGAUGUAUCUUAGAUUAAACAAUUGGAAAUCAAGGACUUUGCCUGUUGAAACAAACAAUUGGAAAUCAAGAAUAAGCACAUUCAAUGCAGUUUAUUGGAACAAUGAGAUGAAUCUAUUGGUUCAUGUUAAACUUAAGUUAUCAGAAGUUCAAGAGUUUCAGAGAUCAUGGAGGAGAGAGAGAGGGCUAGAGAGAGAAAGAUCGCGAGAGAGGGAGAGAGCAGUGGCGAUGAGGGUUCGACGGAAAUCGCAGAAGGCGCGAGCCAUGCGAGGCCUGGGAAUAAUGUCAAGAGGGGUGGUUUCGGCGUGGAAUCGAAAAGAUUCGAGGUCGAGGUGGAGGAGAGGAGAGGUAGAUUGCAUGCCACGAUUGUGGAGAGGAAAGGCGGGAUCUCGUCGUGGGUCAGACUAGGUCCGGUGAGCCUCGGGAUAGUCUUUGAAUGUUUGAAUCUGAGUAUUGAGGACUGAAGAAUGGGUAGGUGGGCAAGAGAGUGGAAGGAAAACGGGAGGAUGUACUCUCUGUCGCGCGAUUACAACAGAGGGGGCUGCUUUCUUCGUUUGGGAGUUGCGGAUUUGGAGGGAAAGAGGUUUAGUGUCUAUAUUCCUAGAGGAAGAGGAGAAAGGGGCGGAUGGGCUUCAAUGGCGGACACACUGAGGAGUUUGGGCUGCGAAGAAAGUUGCCCUAAUAACCAGAAGGCAGUUGUGUCCCGGACGAAGCCGAACAUGGUGAAGUCUUAUGUGGAGGCGACCAAAGUGGCGAAGGAAAAGGAGAGAGCAGCAGCUAGGGAGAUAUUACUACGGAAGAGGUGGGAAGGAAUUUAUCCAAACUUGGCCACUGUGUUGUUGGGACUUGGAAUCACAAUGCAGCGAAGGGUGAUGAUCUCAGAGGGUGGGGAUCCCAGCUAGCGAGAAUAUGGAGGUUAAAAGGGAGUUUAGGGCUGGCUAAAAUGGAGAGGGGAAAGGUGUUAAUGGAGUUUGAGAUCCCGGCAGAGGCGGAGCAAGUCUCAAAGAUGGGAAGCAUUUUGCUUGGGAGGGUAGAUCUCCGUUUAGAGAAGUGGAAUCCGGAGACGGGAUGUUUGAAGGAAGGGGAAAGGAGCAAUGAAGCGUGGGUGCGGGUAGUUGGGCUGCCUGUCUCCAUGUGGGAACGGGAUAUUCUGAGGAAAAUUGGGGAUGCGUGUGGGGGCUUCAUUGCGAUUGAUCAUCAAACGGAAAAAAUGGAGGAUUUACAGUGGGCACGCCUCUUGGUGAAGCGGAACGGUGGGUCUCCUCCCAGCUUAGUGGAGGUUUGGAUUGAUGGGUUUUGUUACGAGGUUACCUUAUGGUGGGAAAUCAGGCCAGUCAUCAAAGUUCCGGCGACUGGAAAGAGAGGGAAGACCGUCGUGACAGAUGCGAAGGAAGGGGGUGACGCGAGUGCACGCGCGGGGGGGCGCGUGUUGGGGGCGAUGGAGGGUUCAAGGCUCGAGGACUGCCUGAUGACUGAGGAUGGGACGCAGAGUCAGGUCAGUGGGUCGGGUCAGAACUCGGAUCCAAAUCGGAACGAAGACGGGUUGGGUUUGUUAGGCCAAGCAUCAUCUUCUAGAGGGCCUAAAGCUUACACUUCCACUGGGCCAAGCUCGCUUGGGCUGGUGUUUUAUGGGAAUGGAAAUGGGAAGCCCAAGGAAAAGGCCGGGCCUUUGGGUUUACUUAAAGGGGAUGGGCUUGCUUUUCGNNNNNNNNNNNNNNNNNNNNNNNNNNNNNNNNNNNNNNNNNNNNNNNNNNNNNNNNNNNNNNNNNNNNNNNNNNNNNNNNNNNNNNNNNNNNNNNNNNNNNNNNNNNNNNNNNNNNNNNNNNNNNNNNNNNNNNNNNNNNNNNNNNNNNNNNNNNNNNNNNNNNNNNNNNNNNNNNNNNNNNNNNNNNNNNNNNNNNNNNNNNNNNNNNNNNNNNNNNNNNNNNNNNNNNNNNNNNNNNNNNNNNNNNNNNNNNNNNNNNNNNNNNNNNNNNNNNNNNNNNNNNNNNNNNNNNNNNNNNNNNNNNNNNNNNNNNNNNNNNNNNNNNNNNNNNNNNNNNNNNNNNNNNNNNNNNNNNNNNNNNNNNNNNNNNNNNNNNNNNNNNNNNNNNNNNNNNNNNNNNNNNNNNNNNNNNNNNNNNNNNNNNNNNNNNNNNNNNNNNNNNNNNNNNNNNNNNNNNNNNNNNNNNNNNNNNNNNNNNNNNNNNNNNNNNNNNNNNNNNNNNNNNNNNNNNNNNNNNNNNNNNNNNNNNNNNNNNNNNNNNNNNNNNNNNNNNNNNNNNNNNNNNNNNNNNNNNNNNNNNNNNNNNNNNNNNNNNNNNNNNNNNNNNNNNNNNNNNNNNNNNNNNNNNNNNNNNNNNNNNNNNNNNNNNNNNNNNNNNNNNNNNNNNNNNNNNNNNNNNNNNNNNNNNNNNNNNNNNNNNNNNNNNNNNNNNNNNNNNNNNNNNNNNNNNNNNNNNNNNNNNNNNNNNNNNNNNNNNNNNNNNNNNNNNNNNNNNNNNNNNNNNNNNNNNNNNNNNNNNNNNNNNNNNNNNNNNNNNNNNNNNNNNNNNNNNNNNNNNNNNNNNNNNNNNNNNNNNNNNNNNNNNNNNNNNNNNNNNNNNNNNNNNNNNNNNNNNNNNNNNNNNNNNNNNNNNNNNNNNNNNNNNNNNNNNNNNNNNNNNNNNNNNNNNNNNGGGGGGGGGGGGUGGCUUCCUGGAGUGGGGGAAGGAAUAACCAAGCUUGGGCUAGACUGGACCGGUUUUUAGUGACCCAAGAUUGGCUGGACUGCUUCAGUGGGGUCCUUCAGUGCAGGCUGCCCAGACCCGUUUCUGACCAUUUCCCCAUCUUACUGAAAGGUGGGGGGGUAAGAAAGGGCCCCUCCCCUUUUAGGUUUGAAAACAUGUGGCUCAAAGUUGAGGGGUUUAAGGACCUUCUUCGGGGGUGGUGGCAGGAGGCGGGGGGGAGGGGGAGGGCUAGCUUCAGAGUGGCUUCAAAAUUGAAGUUUCUGAAGGAUAAAAUUAAAUCUUGGAACAGGGAAGUGUUUGGGAGGGUGGAAGUCAACAAAAAUCUAGCCUUGCAACAAGUAGAAUUUUGGGAUAGGGUGGAGAGUGGCAGGAGCCUAACUGAAAGGGAGUCAGAGCUGAAAACUGAGGCUAAGGAGGCCUUCAAAAAUUGGGUUCUUUUGGAAGAAACGCAUUGGAGACAAUCUUCUAGGGAGUUGUGGCUGAGGGAAGGUGAUAAGAAUACUGGUUUCUUUCAUCGGAUGGCUAAUGCUCAUAGAAGAAAUAACUCCAUGGAUAAGAUUAAAAUCAAUGGGAGGUGGUUGGAGGAGGAGAGGGAGGUGAGAGAGGGGGUUGUGAAUGCCUUUCAGCAGUUGUUGUCAGAGGAUCAAUCAUGGAAAUCUGAUAUUGAAGGGCUGCAGCUCAAAAGCUUAAACCAUGCUGAAGCUGAAGGUUUGGAGCAGCCCUUUACUGAGGCAGAGAUUCAUUUGGCUCUAAUGGGUAUGAAUGGUGAUAAGGCUCCAGGCCCGGAUGGGUUCACAGUGGCCUUUUGGCAGUUCUGUUGGGAGUUCGUGAAGGAGGAAAUUGUGGACGUGUUCAAGGAGUUUUAUGAAGACAAGUCGUUUGCUAAGAGCCUCAACUCUACUUUUCUGGUCCUCAUUCCUAAGAAAGGGGGGGUUGAGGAUUUGGGGGAUUUCAGACCAAUCAGCUUGCUUGGGGGUGUGUAUAAGCUCUUGGCCAAAGUGCUGUCCAAUAGAAUUAAGGAGGUGCUAGACAAGGUGGUUUCGUCGGACCAAAAUGCCUUUGUGAAGGGAAGACAGAUUUUAGAUGCUUCACUCAUAGCCAAUGAGGUAAUUGACUAUUGGCUUAAACGCAAGGAGAAAGGGGUGAUAUGUAAACUGGACAUUGAAAAAGCCUAUAAUAGUAUUAAUUGGAACUUCCUCAUGAAGGUCAUGCGGAAGAUGGGCUUUGGGGACCGGUGGUUGAAAUGGAUUUGGUGGUGUAUUUCAACGGCAAGCUUUUCUAUUCUGGUNNNNNNNNNNNNNNNNNNNNNNNNNNNNNNNNNNNNNNNNNNNNNNNNNNNNNNNNNNNNNNNNNNNNNNNNNNNNNNNNNNNNNNNNNNNNNNNNNNNNAUAGAAGAAAUAACUUCCAUGGAUAAGAUUAAAUCAAUGGAAGUGGUUGAGGAGGAGAGGGAGGUGAGAGAAGGGAUUGUGAAUGCCUUUCAGCAGUUGUUGUCAGAGGAUCAAUCAUGGAAAUCUGAUAUAGAAGGGCUGCAGCUCAAAAGUUUAAACCAUGCUGAAGCUGAAGGUCUGGAGCAGCCCUUUACUGAGGCAGAGAUUCAUUUGGCUCUGAUGGGUAUGAAUGGCGAUAAGGCCCCAGGCCCGGAUGGGUUCACAGUGGCCUUUUGGCAGUUCUGUUGGGAGUUCGUGAAGGAGGAAAUUGUGGACGUGUUCAAAGAGUUCUAUGAAGACAAGUCGUUUGCUAAGAGCCUCAACUCUACUUUUCUGGUCCUCAUUCCUAAGAAAGGGGGGGCUGAGGAUUUGGGGGAUUUCAGACCAAUCAGCUUGCUUGGGGGUGUGUAUAAGCUCUUGGCCAAAGUGCUGUCCAAUAGAAUUAAGGGGGUGCUAGACAAGGUGGUUUCGCCGGACCAAAAUGCCUUUGUGAAGGGAAGACAGAUUUUAGAUGCUUCACUCAUAGCCAAUGAGGUAAUUGACUAUUGGCUUAAACGCAAGGAGAAAGGGGUGAUAUGUAAACUGGACAUUGAAAAAGCCUAUGAUAGUAUCAAUUGGAACUUCCUCAUGAAGGUCAUGCGGAAGAUGGGCUUUGGGGACCGGUGGUUGAAAUGGAUUUGGUGGUGUAUUUCAACGGCAAGCUUUUCUAUUCUGGUCAAUGGGGUGCCGGCUGGUUAUUUCUCCAACUCUAGGGGGUUACGCCAAGGUGAUCCACUCUCCCCCUACCUUUUUGUGCUGGGCAUGGAAGUUCUAAGCGCUAUGUUGAGAAGGGCUGUUGAUGGGGGCUUCACUUCAGGUUGUAGCAUCCAAGGGAGGGGGGGAAUGGAGAUAAAUGUGUCCCAUUUACUUUUUGCUGAUGAUACGAUUAUUUUUUGUGAAGCAAGGCAAGAUCACAUUACUUACCUAAGCUGGAUUUUGGUAUGGUUUGAGGCAGCCUCUGGUCUUAGAAUAAAUCUUGCUAAAAGUGAAGUAAUCCCGGUUGGAGAGGUGGAAGACAUUGAGAUGUUGGCGGUGGAGUUAGGGUGUAAAGUGGGGACCCUCCCUUCGGUUUAUUUGGGGCUGCCUUUGGGAGCCAAGCACAAGGCCACGACUAUGUGGGAUGGGGUUGAAGCAAGAAUGAGAAGAAGGCUUGCACUGUGGAAAAGACAAUAUUUGUCAAAGGGUGGGAGGAUUACCCUCAUCAAAAGCACUUUGGCCAGCAUGCCGAUUUACCAAUUGUCUCUUUUUCGCAUGCCUAAGCUGGUUGUUAAAAGGCUUGAAAAGCUUCAAAGGGACUUUCUUUGGGGAGGGGGAAGUUUGGAAAGAAAGAUUCAUCUCAUCAACUGGGCGGUGGUGUGUACCCAUAAGGAGAGUGGGGGCCUAGGUAUUCGGAAAAUUGAUUUCUUGAAUAAGGCUCUAUUGGGGAAAUGGAUUUGGCGGUUCGCCAUUGAGGAAGACUUCUUCUGGAGAAAGGUGGUUGGGGUGAAGUAUGGUCGGUUGGGUUUUGGUUGGAGAACAAAGGAGGCCCGCGGAACGUUUGGGGUGGGGGUUUGGAGGGAUAUCUUGAAGGAGUCGUCUUGGUGUUGGGAUAAUAUUGAAUUCAAAGUGGGAAAGGGGACUAAGGUGAGUUUCUGGACUGACCAUUGGUGUGGUAAUGAGGAGCUGGCCCAAACUUUUCCCCAGUUGUUUGAAUUGGCAGUCCAAAGGAACGCCUCGGUAAAUGAGAUGUGGGAUUCUAGCCUCGGCCAAGGAGGUUGGAAUAUAAGACUCUCCAGAAACCUUAAUGAUUGGGAGCUGGACGCUUUAGGAGAGCUGCUGCAGUUGUUAAGGGAUUUGAGGACUUCUCUUGAAGAGGAUGCAGUGAUUUGGAAAGGAGAGAGUCAUGGCCUCUUUCGGAUUAAAGAUGCCUACAAGCUUUUGGCAGGGUCUAAUGUCAUUAGCUUCCCGAAAAAGGGCAUUUGGGUGGAUAAGGUUCCAACCAAAGUUGCUUUUUUUGCUUGGGAGGCGUCUUGGGAGAAAGUUUUAACUUUGGACAUGCUUCAAAGAAGGGGAUGGCAGUUUCCUAACAGGUGUUUUUUAUGUGGUUGUGAAGAGGAAAAUGUAAAUCAUAUACUUUUACACUGUACAGUUGUAAGGGCUCUCUGGGAGAUUGUCUUGGCCUUGUUUGGGGCUAAUUGGGUGUUCCCAGAGAAAGUCAAAGAUAUGCUAGUCAGUUGGAGGGGCCCUUUUGUGGGGAGAAAGAGGAAAAGGAUUUGGACUUCCAUUCCGUUGUGUAUUUUUUGGACGGUUUGGAAGGAGAGAAAUAGAUUAGCGUUUAGGGGGGGCUCUCUAGCUAUUCAGAAGCUAAAGAAUUCUUUUGUUUGUAACUUGUGGAGUUGGGCUAGGGUGUAUAUGGGAGAGGAGUCCUCUUCGCUUAUAGGUUUUUUGGAAUGGCUCGCUACUCCUUAAGGGGUGGUGAGUGUUGGUUGUUGGAUUGGCUACUGUGUAUACGUCCUGUAUGCCUUGUGGCUUUUUGCCUCUUUUAAUAUAUUUGUGCGCACUUAUCAAAAAAAAAAAAAGUUAUCAGAAGUUCAUAGAAGAGUUUGAAGUGCAAAUGCUUUCACGUAAUCUGGGUUUUCAUGUUAGAUUUCUGGUUGAGUUUUGGUAGUUAUAGCUCAUGUUUAUAACUAUUUGAUUAACCAGUAGAAUGCUAAUUAAUCUUUAAUACUCUCCACUGUUGUAACUUGUAAGUUAUAGUACAGGUUAUUUGCUAUUGCACCACCAUGUCUCUUUCCUCCUGCAGGGUACCAUAACGGCUGGAGUUGAUACUUACCUAACUUUUAUGGAGAGUGGUUGUAAUUUCUAUAAUGGGAAUGUUAUGCCAUUUUUUGAUAGAAAUGAAGGUUGUACUUAAUUGAUUGAGUCCUCACUGAAAAAAAAAGGAAAAGAAAAUUGUGAUGUUUUUCAUUUCAAGGAAAAUAAUUUUUAUUAUUCUGCACCUCCUGUUUAUUGUAAGCUUUGAAGAGAC
rnacentral:lncRNA from 1 species